rnacentral:lncRNA from 1 species
CCGCACCCCCUUCUUGCAAAGAUGACGCCGUGGAAACGCUUCNNNNNNNNNNNNNNNNNNNNNNNNNNNNNNNNNNNNNNNNNNNNNNNNNNNNNNNNNNNNNNNNNNNNNNNNNNNNNNNNNNNNNNNNNNNNNNNNNNNNNNNNNNNNNNNNNNNNNNNNNNNNNNNNNNNNNNNNNNNNNNNNNNNNNNNNNNNNNNNNNNNNNNNNNNNNNNNNNNNNNNNNNNNNNNNNNNNNNNNNNNNNNNNNNNNNNNNNNNNNNNNNNNNNNNNNNNNNNNNNNNNNNNNNNNNNNNNNNNNNNNNNNNNNNNNNNNNNNNNNNNNNNNNNNNNNNNNNNNNNNNNNNNNNNNNNNNNNNNNNNNNNNNNNNNNNNNNNNNNNNNNNNNNNNNNNNNNNNNNNNNNNNNNNNNNNNNNNNNNNNNNNNNNNNNNNNNNNNNNNNNNNNNNNNNNNNNNNNNNNNNNNNNNNNNNNNNNNNNNNNNNNNNNNNNNNNNNNNNNNNNNCGCUUCCGCCAAGAGGGCGUCUGCGGCAGCCGACAUGGCAGCUGCUGCUGCGACGGCGGCUGCAAAUGCUGACAGUGCUCGAGCUGCCGUCCGUGCCGCUGAUGUCGGCCUGGCCCGGGUCGAGGCCAUCCAUGCCAAGAUCGAGGAUGCACACGCCAAGAUAUUCCAGGCCACCUCGGACUCCAGCAUGCAACCCACGUCUGAAAAGGUGGCGGUGGCCGUGGAGCGCCUGCUUCCUCAUGAGGUCGCCGAGCGGGAGCUGCAGAUGCAGGAGGCGGUGGAGAUCGAGGAGCGCUGGGAGGAGGAGUUGCGUGUGGACGAGGUCUAGGUAGAGAAGAGUCUAUCCGUCGAGGAAUCGGCGCUGGAGUACCAACGUGAGCUCUGGCGCAUCCACUACUGUGAGUACUACAACCUUGAGGGUGGCGCCGAGGACAAGGACGAGGACGCGGUCGACUUCAGCAGGGGGGACGCAGAGUCCACCAACGGUGGCAUGUCGCCAGGACAAGUCAUCGACGUCUCAUCUCAUACCGGCGAUGCAUAGGCCAGCACAGCGGUGCAUUUUUAAUUAUGCGUACUUAGGCUUUGUUUUUAAUUCUGAUCUUUUGCUAGAGCAAUGUUUAGGUCAACUGGCUAUGUGUAAUUACUAAAAUUGGUCGAUUGAGUAAGUGUGGUUUGUCUGCUGUACGCUCUCUUGUGUGCCCAAAUUAGCAAGCGAUGUUAAAUUAUGCAAUGACGUACCAGGGGAAAUUUCCACCAAAAUUUGAAUUAUCAAACUCAUCCCAUGCGCGUAAAGCAGAAGAAUCGUUUGCGAUGCACACAAUCAUUCAAAGUGAAUGGUCUGGCAGCACCGCGCGCAUUCAAAGUGAAUGUGCCCAUGCCUUGAGACUAAAAAUUUGAAUUAUCAAACUCAUCCCAUGUGCGUAAAGCAAAAGAAUCAUUUGUGACGCACACAAUCGUUCAAAGUGAAUGGUCCGGCGGCACCAUGCGCAAAGUUUCCCUCCACAUUUCCAAAAUUUUGGCCUACCGCUAAAAUAUCUACCCCCUCCCCACUUCCCCCCUUUCCCACCACUUUUUCUCCUCGACCAGAAAUCACAUUUCCCCUGUUUCCUCCUUCCUUACUAAGCUAUAGCCGCUUCCUCGCUCUCGGCAUCUCGCAUCCUACCGCCGGGGUCGCCAUGGUCUUCUGCAAAGACAUCUCCAGCGGUUCCUCCUCCGGCGACUACUCCUUCACCACCCGAGUAUGCCUCUCUUCUCUCUCUCGGGCUAUGACUUGGAAUGAAGGAUUUUUAACAAGAGGUCGAUUUGAGUCAUUUCUUCCUCUUGUAGCUCCCUAAGACCAUCAGUGGCCACGAAUGGAGCGGGGUGGCUGAAGAUCUAUCUGCUCGUUGUCACCAUCAAUCUCCAUGCAUGAAGCUACUUGUGUUUGAUUUUGUGGACACUGGGAUGAAGUUUCUGGCAUGUGCAGAGAAGGUUAGACCCUCUUCCGUUGUUACAAAUCAUUUGUUAGAUGUGAUUCAGACACUGUCACGGUCCCAACCAAUUCAUACCACACCUUCAACCAAACGCAUCCUAAGACAGUGUCAUAGUUUGUACCUAGUAUCUUAAAUUGUUGCCAUAUCAUUAGCGGUGCCAUUAGAAAAUUAUUUGGCACCGCUUCAGCAGUUUGUGCAGCCAACUUUGGUCCACACAUGCGAGCAGCCAAGCAGUAAAAUACUAAAUCUUUAUGGCAUGAAGGAACUGGGCAUCGGAGCAACUACGUGCUCCGGAGUCAGGGUCCCUGAUUUUUUUUCGCUGCAUCGGCUCGCCAGUUCAGGGCACCGGUGCGAGAUGUAGCAACAGUUGUCUUUACACCAGUUUUGGCAUACAUAGUGGACGACCUUAGUGCUAUUAGUUCUGUGUUACUAAAUUUGUGCAUGUACACACCUGUUAGUAUCAAUUUGCUUUCAUCCAAACAUUGUCGCUAUGAUCUUGCAGUUAUAUUUACCUUCCUCAUAAAAUGUUCAAUUUGUUAUUUAUUGUACAUGAGUAAGAACUUGUAGCGUCCUUGUAGUUAAUUAUAGCUUCUGAUGUUCCAGAAUUUGGUUGUUGUCUCAGUACCAAUUAUUUCAUUUGCACAUUGAUCUUUUUGAGAAGAUAUGUCAUAAUUAACAUGUUUCUUCAGUUUUUCAAAAUAAGCAUUGGUGAUUUUCUAUGUUGCUAUAAACUCAUUUCCCCUACAACUGUUACGGAUCUAGUUUUAAAUAUUAUAGGCUGAACGGAAGUGUUCUUACUUGGAGUAGGUUGAUCAAGAGUGGCCAGAAUCUUUGAAGAUGUGCCUAACAAAGCUCUGAAGCAUGUAUGAGGAAGUGAACACACGUAGGCUUAGAGAAAGUCUUGUCAACGCUGAAGCAUAUUUCAAGAUGCGGGAUAAAAAGUUGAAGGUGGAGAAUGAGCUCGGAUUUUUUAAACAGACUUUGCUAAGAUGGUGUUGGCAAGGAGGAGGCACUUUCCCAGUUUUCCUGUGAAACGGGUUCUUACUGAACUGAAAGAAGAGGUGGAUAAGACGAGACUGGAUGAUCUCGAUUAGGAAAAUGAAUAUAUUGUUCUUAUGAAGUUGAACUAGCUAUAUGUUGUAUUGUGUUGUUUUCAUGUAGCUACUGUACUGUGAUGUUACAAUAUAUUUAUGUGCCUGAUAUGAACUUGGCAAACAGUUGUUCGAUAUGAAAUGUGAAUUUGCGUAAUACUGGAAUUAUUAAUUCUAAACUAAUAAAUCUGCUAAAUGUGUCAUGGACCUUUGCAAACUGUUCUAACAGUAAAAGCGCUUGCGAUGGAUAGCCCAGUGCCACACAGUUUUCUUCAUCAAAUCAUGUGUGAUAUAGUUGAUAAAAGCAAACAGUUAACCAACGCAGACCGUGUGUGAUAGUUACACCUUUCACACACGAUCCUACACAUAAAACUGUGUGAGAUGUACAUCCAAACGGAAACGUUUUCCCUGGAUUGACUGUGUGGGAUGUACAUAAGAGCAGAAACGUAUUCCUUGGAUUGACUGUGUGUGAUAUACAUACGAACGGAAAUGAUUUUCUGGGAUUCACCGUGUGGGAUGUACAUACCUACGGAAAUGAUUUCUGGGAUUUACCAUGUGGGAUGUAUAUACCUACGGAAAUGAUUUCUGGGAUUCACCGUGUGGGAUGUACAUACCUAUGGAAAUGAUUUCUGGGAUUCACCAUGUGGCAUGUACAUACCUACGGAAAUGAUUAAGUUUCGAUGCCUCGCCCGAUCGCACACGGCCCCAACCUGGGUCCCAGGAGGGCCUAUCCCCGAUGAUUUCUGGGUCAUGUGGGAAGGACCCCCUAUCACCCACACUCACUUGACGACGGUUCCAAAUGCCGUCGCGGAAAGGGGUUUAAACCAUUUGUUUAGGACCGACGCGCACCAAUGAUGGUUAAACUUUUGUUUCGAACUACAUACAACAAUUUGUUUAAACCGUUUAUUUGGAAUAGAGCAUACGAGACACCCCUUUUUGGAAAGUUGAUGAAUAAGAGGAACUUUUUCAUUUAGAACAUUUUGUUUCAAAUUUAUAAUGGAAUAAUAGAAUUAUGUUAAAACACCAAAAACAACAUCUUUUUGUGUUUUUGAACAAUGAAAUACAUGGUGAACCUCUCUCACAAGAACUUUUUAUCUUUCCCGCAUUGAGCACCUGAACUUCUAGCAAUGAAUUUUUAAACUUUUCUUUUUUAUUCUUUUUUCUCAUAUGAAAUGCAUACCAUGCAAUACGUGAACUUCCUGCAGUUAUGAAUUUGAACUUCUCUCUAUUUCGCUUUAGAAAACAGGAAAAAAAUCUGAUCUUUUAUACACACCGAACCGCUCUACUUUUUUUAUUUGAACUUCAUUAUGUACGUUUAUAAAUGUGAAAAUUGGAGUUUUUUAGAAACGUCAAACUUCUUCGUUAUUUCGAAUUGAACUUAUUGGUUUUAUUAUUUAGUAACUGGAAAAUCCAAUUUUUUUCAAAUAAAUAUCAAAUUGCUUCGAUUUUUCCGAUUAAACUUGUUGGUUUUAUUCUCUAGUAACGAGAAAACCUGAGUUUUUUAUGUACAUUGAACUCUUCCGUUUUUUAAAAUUGAAAUUUUUGGUUUUAAUCUUUAGUAUUGGGGAAAAUAUGAGUUCUAAUAAACAUCAAACUGCUUCAUUUUUCUAUUAAGGACUUAUUGGUGAUAUUCAUUAGUUAUGGGAAAAGUCAUAGUUAUGUAAUAAAUAUCAAAUUGCUCAAUUGUUUAAAUUUGAACUUCUAGGUCUUUUUUAAGAGGGAAAAUCUAUUUUUAUAAACUUUUUGAACUACUCUGUCUUUUUAAUUUGAUGUUCUUAUAUUGUACUAAACAUUGAACUUCUCCGUUAUUUAAAUUUGAACCUCGAGGUUUUUUGUAGGACUAAGGAAAAUCCAUUUUUUAUAAAUUUUCAGAUGCUCUAUUUUUUUAAGCCUUAUUGGGUUAUUUUGUAGUAAUGAGGAAAAUCCUAAUUUAGUAAUAAAUAUUGACCCGCUUCAUUAUUUAAACUUGAACUUUUAGUUUUUUUAACUUCUAGGGUUGUUGCUAGAAAUGAAGAAAAUUUGUUUUUAUAUGAAAAAUUUGAACUACUCUAUUAUUUCAAUUUGACCUUCUUGGUUUUAGUUUGAGCUUCUAGUUUUUUAAAAAGGGAAAAAAUCUAUUUAAACUUUUCUAGGUGUUCCUUUAUUUUAAUUCGAACUUCUUCAAUUUAUUCUUUAGUAACAGAAUAAAAACUGAGUUUUUUAUAAUCUUCAAACUUCUUUGUUAUUUUAAUUUAAACUUCAGUUUUAUACGUAGAAAAAAAUAUUGUUUAUAAAUAAGCAUCAAACAUUUAAAAAAAUUGAACUUCAUACUUUAUUUUUCCUUGAAAAAGGAAAUUUUUUUGAAUUAUUGUAAAACACGAAAAACAACAUCUUUUUUGUGUUUUUGAACAUGUAAAUACAUGGUGAACCUCUCUCACAAGAAUUUUUGAAAUUUCCCGCGCUGAGCACCUGAACUUCUAGCGGCAAAUUUUUUAAACUUUGCCUUUUUAUUCUUUUUUUCUCAGACGAAAUGCACACCAUACAAUACGUGAUCUUCUGACAGUUAUCAAUUUAGACUUCUCUCUGUUUUGCUUUAGUAACAGAAAAAAUCUGAGUUUUUAUAGACAUCAAACCACUAUAACAUUUUGAACUUCCAUGUUAUUUAAAUUCCAGCUUCUCCAUUUUUUUACUAAAGUGUAGAAACACCAUUCUUAUAAACUUUUUGAAAUUGCUCCAUUUUUUAUUUUUUGAACUCUUAGUUUAUUCUUUAGUAAUUUUUUUGAACUACUUUUUUUUAAUUUUUGUUGUUUUCUACUGUAAUAAACAUUGAACUACUCCGUUAUUUAAAUUUGAACUUCUAGGUUUCUUUUUGGAAUGUGAAAAUCCCAUUUUUUUAAUAACUUUUUUAAUUGUGCUUUUUUCAAUUUUGAACUUCUCGGUUUAAUCUUUUAGUCACAAUAAAAAAUAUGUUUUGUUAAAAACUUCGAACUUUUCUAUCUUUUUAAUUUCAACUUUUUAAUUAUUAGAAAAAAAAAUCCUUGGGAAAGAUAAUUUGUACAAACUUUGGCUUUUGGAAAAUACUCACUUGUUUUAAUUGAACUUCAACAUUUCUAUUCGUUGUUCUUGAAGGACUGGAAUUGAUAACCAUGGCAGGAUAACUGAAAUGUACUAUCAUCCCUUUCUAACGAGAGACCACGCUUUUUUUGUUGUUGUUGAUUUUGAGCUUGUAGGGAUUUCAAAAGAAAUUUGAUGCUUUGUUUAACUCCACCCCUAAGUUUUUUAUGAACUUCUAGCUUUCAUGAAAAGCACUACUAUGUGUGUUUUGUAAUUCCUCUUUUUUUUUCCUUUUUUUAUAAACUACCGAAUAUUUUUCUUUUCUAAAUACAUGGUGAUAGAGAGGUAAUAAGGGUGAACUUCCUGGCCAUCAAUUCAUGAACCUUUUCACAUAAAUAAACAUUCCCCAUAAGCCUGCACAUUUUUUUGGGCCAUAUACAUCCAUCUGAAAUAACACCAUGACAACCAAGAGAAGAAAUGUGCAAUAGUGUAGCAAAUUUAGAAUAACAAGGUUGUACACUGGGUCAGCUGUAUAACAAACUUGUGUCCUGUCAGAUUUUUUCAUAGAUACAACCGUGGAUUUUUACUAACCCAUUGUGCGCGUAACUAGUAUCCUGGUCGUCCAUCAUGCUUGCUAUCCAAUCAACCUGCCCCACUCAGGCGUCAGCCAUGCAUGGGUAUUUAGCAGUCACGGGAAUUUCAUGCGGGAAUUCCAUACGACGUGACCGCAUGAGGGAACCAGGUCUAUAGAUUCCUUUGUUUAGUAGGUCCUAUAUUCGCUUCUCUCUAUAGGUCGUACGCAUGCCAUGCCAUGCCUGUCACAGGCUCCCUUCCCUCCGUAUGCUAUCUUUCACGUGAGAUGCAUCCCUAAGAGAUUAUCUUGUCACAAAGAACAACCGGCAGCGCUAUUUAAGAUGAGACGAACAGAUUUGUACUAGUACAGUUUCUUUAUUAGCGCAGUUUGGCAAACUUUUGUUAAUGGACAGUAUAAAGUUCUUCAAACCAAGGAAGGAAAGUACAACUCGCCGAACCGCGCAGUUUGAGUGCCUUCGUACUUCACAUACCGGCACUUUAGCCAUCCCUGCCUGUAAGACAAUAAGUUUUGGGAACCAGCACAACCCUCUAGGGGUGGCUUAUCUCAUUAUAUAUAAUGGUUGUGUUACAAUACGUACAUAGGUACAGAAGUUAUACAUAGUCUAACACCCUCCCUCAAUCUUAGCCACUUUCUAAAGAACUGAGAAGGGUAAGAUUGCACCUACAAGCCUCAAACUGUGGCAGUGGUAAAGGCUUAGUGAAGAUAUCUGCAAGUUGAUCCUUAGACGAGAUAAACUUGAUCUGAAGUUGCUUCUGUGAUACACGUUCCCGUACAAAGUGAUAGUCAACUUCAAUGUGUUUCGUUCGGGCAUGAAAUACUGGAUUUGCAGAAAGGUAUGUAGCAUCGAUGUUAUCACACCAAAGAAUAGGAGGCUGUGGUUGAGACAAACCCAACUCCUGAAGCAAAGACUGCACCCAAAUAAUCUCUGCAGUAGCAUUAGCCACAGCCUUGUACUCAGCUUCAGUACUGCUACGUGACACAGUAGCCUGUUUCCGAGCACUCCAGGCGAUCAAAUUAGAGCCAAAGAAUACUGCAUAACCCCCCGUGGAUCGCCUGUCAUCUGGGCUACCAGCCCAAUCUGCAUCAGAGAAGGCCGAAAGGACCCGAGAGGAAGUCGGCCGAAUAUGCAUACCAAAAGUCAGGGUGAACUGAACAUAACGAAGAAUGCGUUUAACAGCAGCCCAAUGAGUAUCUCUGGGAGCCUGAAGAUACUGACAAACCCUGUUAACAGCAUAAGAGAUAUCUGGUCUCGUGAUCGUCAAGUACUGAAGUCCACCAACAAUGCUUCUGUACUCUGUGGCAUCCGCAGGAGACAAAAGCUCACCAUCAACAGCUGUUAUCUUGUCGGUAGACGACAUGGGUGUGGUGGUCGGUUUGCAAUUCAGCAUGCCGGCUUUUUGUAACAACUCCAAGGAGUACUUCUUCUGCGUAAGGACAAGACCAGUAGCACGAGAAGUGACCUCAACUCCAAGAAAGUAGUGAAGCUUCCCAAGAUCUUUGACCGCAAAAUCAGCACCAAGAGAGCAGACAAGAGCAUCAGCAGCAUACUGAGAAGAGCUGACAAGGAUAAUAUCAUCGACAUAUACCAAAAGAUACAUAGUGACUUCUGGCGUCUGUAGAAGAAAUAAUGAAGUGUCAGCAGUGGACGGCACAAACCCAUGAGCACGAAGGGCAGAGGCAAGGCGGGCAUGCCAGGCACGAGGAGCUUGCUUCAAACCAUAUAGUGCUUUGGAAAGACGACAGAUAUAGUCAGGACGAUCAGGAUCAGAGAAACCAGGCGGCUGUUUCAUAUAAACCUCUUCCUCCAAAAAUCCAUGUAGAAAAGCAUUCUGCACAUCAAGUUGACGAAGGGACCAACCACGAGAAACAGCAAUGGAGAGAAGAAGCCGAAUAGUGGUAGGCUUGACGACAGGACUGAAGGUGUCCUCAUAGUCAAGACCAUGACGCUGCCGAAAACCGCGAGCAACAAGUCGCGCUUUGUAACGCUCAAUAGAUCCAUCCGAAUGCUUCUUCACUUUGAAUACCCAUUUUGAGUCAAUAACAUUUACCCGUGGUGGUGGAGGAACGAGAGUCCAUGUCUUGUUACGAAGAAGAGCAUGAAACUCCUGCUCCAUAGCCUCUCGCCAAUGUGGAAUGCGCAGGGCAGCCUGAUAUGAGCGAGGCUCAGAAGAUGGAUCCGCAACAGCAGCAGCCAAACAAGCAGCCAACCAAGCAACCGUACCAUCCGUACGUUCCUUAGGUUUGAAAAUGCCACUGCGACUGCGUGUAUGUGGUCAAGACACAGGAACCACCGAGGUCGACGGAGCAGCCUGCAAUGGGCUGGAGGACGGCGACGUUGACGAGUCAGCCGGUGACGAGGAGCCAGGCACGGUAGCCUCGGACUCAGUCGGCGAAGAAGGCCGGCCCACCGGCGAAACCGGCAGAGCAGACGAAGCAGCUGGCGACUCCGGCAUCCCAGACUGGGCCAAUGACGAGCUCGGCAUAGUGGGCCAUGGCGCGGCCGGUGUCGCGGGCCGAUCCGCUGAUGAAGGCGACGUGAGGACCCGAGCCGCGGGCGAAGACGGCGUGACGGGCCGAGCCACGGGCGACUCGGCGGCCGCUGGCGAAAAAGGCCGAGCCGCUGGAGACUCGGCGAUCACUGGCGUAGCAGACCGAGCAGUGGAGAUGCUCGGCGCGACGGGCUCGUCGGGUGACCAUGCAUGGGCACGCGAAUUGAUGCCAUGCAACAGAGGGCGAUCGACAUGCCCACCAGAAGACGACGAUGAUGAUGGUGAAUCCUCCAACAGCUCCAAACGAGCUCCACGUCCGGUUCCUGCACCAUGGUUAGGUAACAGCAAAGGAGAGUAUGCAACAUCAUCAAAUUGGUCAGAAGCAACAGAGGAUGAAUGCAGGGAUGGUGGUUCGACAGUGGACACAGGAAGGUUGGCAAAGGGAAAAACAUGCUCAUCAAACACGACGUCCCGAGAUAUAUAGACACGAUUAGUGGGAACAUGAAGACAUUUGUAACCUUUAUGAAGAGAGCUAUAGCCAAGGAAAACACACUUCUUAGAACGAAACUCAAGCUUGCGCUUGUUAUAUGGACGAAGAUGCGGCCAGCAAGCACACCCAAAUACCUUGAGAAAGGUAUAAUCAGGUUGUUCAUUAAGGAGAACCUCAAUGGGAGUCUUCAUGUUUAAAACAUGAGUAGGAGUACGAUUGAUGAGAAAGCAUGCAGUGGUGAAAGCAUCACUCCAAAACCGAAACAGAACAGAUGCAUGGGCCAAAAGAGUAAGACCAGCUUCAACAAUAUGACGAUGCUUACGUUCGACUGAACCAUUCUGCUGAUGUGUAUGUGGACAUGCUAAACGAUGAGCUAUCCCAAGCGACUGAAAGAAGGAGUUGAGGUUGCGAUACUCGCCCCCCCAGUCCGACUGGACAUGAACAAUUUUGUGCUUGAGAAGACGUUCAACAUGUUUUUGAAACUGAACAAAAAUAUCAAACACAUCAGAUUUGCGUUUAAUAAGGUAAAGCCAGGUAAAGCGACUAUAAGCAUCAACGAAACUGAUAUAGUAAUUAUGACCACUGACAGAAGUCUGAGCAGGACCCCAUACAUCUGAAAACACAAGUUCUAACGGAUGUUUCACCUCACGACUGGACUCCGAAAAAGGAAGUUGAUGACUCUUCCCCUGCUGACAAGCAUCACACACUGCUACAUCUUUAUUACUAGACAAACUAGGAAGCUCAUGACGAUGCAAAAUAUGACGGACAAUAGAUGUGGCCGGGUGACCAAGACGAGCAUGCCACUGUGACGGAGAGACCCGAACUCCACUGAAAACGCGAGCGACGCCAGGAUGCUCCAGACGGUAGAGACCCUGGCACAACCGCCCACUAAGAAGAAUGUCCCUCGUGCCCCGAUCCUUAAUAAAAAGAUCAAAAGGGUGAAAUUCACAAAGCACAUUAUUAUCACGUGUGAGUUUAGGAACUGAAAGAAGAUUGCGGGUCACAGAUGGAACGCGAAGAACAUUGCGAAGCUGAAGACUCCUAUUGGCAUGUCUAGUGAGAAGAGAUGCUUGACCAAUAUGAGAGAUGUGCAUACCUGCUCCAUUGACGGUGUGGAUCUUGUCGGAGCCAUGAUAGGGUUCACGAGUGUGAAGCUUCCCCAUCUCGCUGGUCAGAUGCUCUGUCGCGCCAGAGUCCAUGUACCAGUGUGGAUCGAUGGAGUAGGACUGAGUGUGUCCCUGGUGCUUCUGCGGCGCGGGAGGAUCAGCCAUGGCGACCUGACGGGCAUUGUUGCGUGUAUCUUUGCCGUCAUUGCCAAGACCAAGGAAGCUUCGCUGGAAGCGCUUAUGACACUUGGAGGCCCAGUGCCCAUCGCGGCCACAAAGCUGACACACACGUGGACCGCCAGCCCCCGGUAAGGUCGCAGUAGGUGGGGGGGCCGAGGCGAGCGACGGUGGCAGCCCCAAGGGAGACCGGGGUGAUGAAGAAGAGCGGCCACCCUUGGUGGCGACGUUGGCCGAGAGAGAGCCAGUGCCCCUGGUGCGGCGAGUCUCGACCCGUUGCUCAGUGAGAAGAAGCCGAGAGAAAACCUCGUGUGCCAACAUGGGUGUCGAGUUACCCCGCUCGUUGAUGAUCUCGACUAAGGCAUCAUACUCCUCAUCAAGACCAUUGACAAUAAACGAGUUGAACUCGGAGUCGGUGAGGGGCUGUCCAAUGGAGGCCAAUGUGUCGGCAAGGCCCUUGACCUUGUUGUAGAACUCAGUGGCCGUGGAGUCAAGCUUCUGACACUCUCCAAGCUGACGACGGAGUGCAGAGACACGAGCCUGGGACUGCGCUGCAAAGGUGCGCUCAAGGAUGGUCCAGGCCUCAUGAGACGUCUUCGCGAAGACAACAAGGCCGGCAACUGUCGGCGAGAGCGACCCCUGGAUGGAGGAGAGGUUCGCCUGGUCCUGCCCCGUCCAGACGCGAUGGGCCGGAUUGUAGACCGGACCGUGCACGCUGUCUACCAGCGCGGGUGGGCAGGGAAGCGAUCCGUCGACGUAGCCUAGCAGGUAGUGACUCCCCAAGAGCGGGAGAACCUGCGCACGCCAGAAGAUGUAGUUGUCUGCGGAGAGCUUGAUGGUGAUGAGAUGACCGAAGUGAAACGGCGGCGGCGAAGACGAUCCCAUCGAGGAGGCUGCCUGGGGUGCAAACACCAUGGAGGCAGCCGGAGGCACCGAAGCCGAUGCGGGAGGAGGCGGGACCGCAGCCAGGGCGGGCGCCGCAAAGCUCGCGGCCGGUGCGGACGCCGCAAGGCCCGCGGCCGGGGCGGACGCCGCCAACCCCGCCAGCGGGGCGGUGUGAUCCGCUCGCGGCAGGAGCGGCGGGACGACGCCUGCGGAAUCCGCAGCGGACGGCGGCGCCGCGGUGUGGACCACGAGGUCACGCCCGAGCGAGGGCGCCGGCGGCGUGGAGAAGACGGAGCCGAUGCUCCUUGUCCCGAUCGGAGCCGGAACGGAGACGGCAUCGAGCGGGAGGUUGAGCAGAGCCGCAAGAGAGGCCGGGAGGAAGCCCGCAGCAGUGGAACCGGUGGUGGCGGCGCUCGACAUGGCGGCGGCACGAUCGGUGGCGCGGCGGCGGCGGUGAAGGCGGCGGCGGCUGCGGCGGCGGUGCGGGUAUUAGGGUUUAGAAGCGGAAGCGAUCGUAACCUAGCGUGAUACCAUGUAAGACAAUAAGUUUUGGGAAUCAGCACAACCCUCUAGGGGUGGCUUAUCUCAUUAUAUAUAAUGGUUGUGUUACAAUACGUACAUAGGUACAGAAGUUAUACAUAGUCUAACACUGCCUAUAGGACUUUACUUGUUCUUUUGCUGCCGCUCGCGUCUGUGUCGUUCCCCUUCCGUUUACCGUUAAGCUAGAUCCGUCUCCCCUAACCCCUACUAGCUUGCAGUAACUCGACCUCUUCGCAAGAUCUAAAUUUGACAAUACAGUUAUUCAUUUUCCUCAAUCAGGACAAGUUAACCAGCAUCGCGGAGGUACAAGAAUUGAUUCUGACUUUGCUCCCAUCUGAUGUUUCAUCUAUCGACCAUACUUGCCAAGCUCGCCUUUUCUCAUAGGAUCUGCUGAGAAUUCCAAUUGGCACCGGAGUGUGAAGAAUCAACAGUGUUCUGCUCGGCCGAAGUCAAUUCAUCGCGUUCUAAUUAAGAAUGCACCAUAUAUUACAUACUCCGUCUACUAGCUUUUAUAAGACGUUUUGACAAUUCAGACAAUGCACAAAACGGUUUAAUGUCAGCUGUCCAAAAUGUCUUAUAAAAAAUGGCGGGAGUACUAUAUAUUACGGUAGUACCGGCCCCGAAAUUCUUACAUAAGCUUGUAUCAUGAUAACUCAUGCAUGUCCGGUAGCGCAUAAUAUGUACUCCCCGCGUGCUUCAACUCUCAACAAAGCUCCCUAUAAUCCAUGGGCAACGGACCAGGAUAGACUUAAUAUCAGAUGCGAAUGUACACACACAUCGCAUAUUAAUACUAUCGGCAUUUUUCUGGCAAACAAAAUACUAUCGGGCAGUCCAGAAUACACAGCGGAAUUUAGAUGGCAUGCUGGAUUUUAUAUCUGCCCAAAGCGCAAAGAAAAAAUAUAUUCAAGUCAGAGAUUUUCAAAAGAAAAAGUUUGCUAUGAAACACCAAUAACUUCUAUACUACACGUUUUGGAUGUUUAUGGGCUUUACUUUACAUUUUAAUAUCAUUUUUGCGACUAACCUACGAACCGGAGGCCCAGCCCGAAUUCUUGUUUUUUUGCCUAUUUCAGUGUUUCGAAGAAAAGGAAUAUUAAACGGAGUUCAAACGGAAUGAAAUCUUCGGGAGCGAUCUUUUUGGAACAAACGUGAUCCAGAGGACUUGAAGUGGAAGUCAAGAAACAAGCGAGGCAGCCACGAGGGUGCCUGGCGCGCCCCCUACAGGUGGGAGCGCCCCCCACCCUCGUGGGCCCCUCAAGCAUCCACUGACCUACUUCUUACUCCUACAUAUACCCACGUACCACGAAAAUAUCAGAAGCGACCGCGAAAAACUAUUUCCACCGCCGUAACCUUCUGUAUCUGGAAGAUCCCAUCUUGAAGCCUUCGCCGGCGCUCCGCCGGAGGGGGAAUCGAUCACGGAGGGCCUCUACAUCAUCUCCAAGGCCUCUCCGAUGAGUUGUGAGUAGUUUACCAUAAACCUUGGGGUUCAUAGUUAUUAGCUAGAUGGCUUCUCCUCUCUCUUUGAAUCUCAAUACAAAGUUCUCCUCGAUCUUCUUGGAGAUCUAUUCGAUGUAACUAUUUUUGCGGUGUGUUCGUCGAGAUCCGAUGAAUUGUGGGUUUAUGAUCAAGUUUAUCUAUGAGAAAUAUUUGAAUCUCCUCUGAAUUAUUUUAUGUGUGAUUAAGUUAUCUUUGCAAGUCUCUUCAAAUUAUUAGUUUGGUUUGGCCUACUUGAUUGAUCUUUCUUGCAAUGGGAGAAGUUCUUAGCUUUGGGUUCAAUCUUGCGGUGUCCUUUCCCAGUAACAGCAGGGGCAGCAAGGCACGCAUUGUAUUGUUGCCAUCGAGCAUAAAAAGAUGUGGUUUAUAUCAUAUUGCAUGAGUUUAUCCCUCUACAUCAUGGCAUCUUUCUUAAUGCGUUACUCUGUUCUUUAUGAACUUAAUACUCUAGAUGCAUGCUGGAUAGCGGUCGAUGUGUGGAGUAAUAGUAGUAGAUGCAGGCAGGAGUCGGUCUAUUUGUCACGGACGUGAUGCCUAUAUACAUAAUCAUGCCUAGAUAAUCUCAUAAUUAUUCGCUUUUCUAUCAAUUGCUCGACAGUAAUUUGUUCACCCACUGUAAUACUUAUGCUAUCUUGAGAGAAACCACUAGUGAAACCUAUGGCCCCCGAGUCUAUAUCUUAUCAUAUAAGCUUUCAAUCUACUUUUAUUUGCAUCUUUACUUUUCCAAUCUAUAUCAUAAAAUACCAAAAAUGUAUUUAUCUUAUCAUAUUAUCUCUAUCGGAUCUCACUUUCGCAAGAGGCCGUGAAGGGAUUGACAACCCCUUUAUUGCGUUGGUUACGAGUUCUUGUUUGUUUGUGUAGGUGCGUGGGACUUUUGAGGAGCCUCCUACUGGAUUGAUACCUUGGUUCUCAAAAACUAAGGGAAAUACUUAUGCUACUAUUGUUGCAUCACCCUUUCCUCUUCAAGGAAAUCCAACACAAGCUCAAGAUGUAGCAAGAAGGAUUUCUGGCGCCGUUGCCAGGGAGGUCUUCGCUCAAGUCAAGACAUACCAAGUACCCAUCACAAACUCAUCUCCCUCGCAUUACAUUAUUUGUCAUUUUCCUCUCGUUUUCCUCUCCCCUACUUCACCCUUGUCAUUUUAUUCGCCCUCUCUUUACCAAUCUCCUCUUUCUUUCGCGUGCUUCUUGUGUGCCAGUUUAUCUUCGUUGUCAUGGCUAGUCCUCCUAUCAUUGUUAGUACUCCCGAUCAUGAAGUUCUUAAUUUUAAACAAACGAAGGGGGGAAAUCUAAAAGAUGCUUGGGAUAGAAUUUGCAAUGCUCAAAACAGAUCUGCUAGGAAGCAAUCUACUUCCAUUCUUCUUCGCAUUUUUUAUGUAGGCAUUACUCCUUGGAAUAGAUAUAUUCUUGAUACCAUUACCGGAGGGAAUUUCUUGGGUAGCCAUACUUUUGAUGCUUAUAAUGCCAUGUUAGAUUUGUUUGGUCAACCCCUGAUAACCCACAAGUGUAGGGGAUCGCAAAAGUUUUCGAUAAGUAAGAGUGUCGAACCCAACGAGGAGCUAAAGGUAGAAUAAAUAUUCCCUCAAGUUCUAUCGACCACCGAUAGAACUCUACGCACGCUUGACGUUCGCUUUACCUAGAACAAGUAUGAAACUAGAAGUACUUUAUAGGUGUGAUAGGAUAGGUUUGCGAGAUAAUAAAGAACAUGUGAAUAAAAGCUAGGGGCUGUUUAGGUAAAUAUGCAAUAAAGUAAAUAUAGCGAGUGUGGAAAAGUGGUGGUAGGAGUUGUGAAAUUGUCCCUAAGCAAUUGACUACGUUACUAGACCGGUAAUCACUAUUGCAAUUCUAUUUGAGGGAGAGGCAUAAGCUAACAUACUUUCUCUUCUUGGAUCAUAUGCACUUAUGAUUGAACUCUAGCAAGCAUCCGCAACUACUAAAGAUUCAUUAAGGUAAAACCCAACCAUAGCAUUAAAGCAUCAAGUCCCCUUUAUCCCAUAUGCAAAAAAAAACCUUACCCGGGUUUGUGUCUCAGUCACUCACGCAACCCACUAUAAGCGAAUCAUGAACGCAUUGCAACACCCUACAGCGGGAAUCCCUCAUGCUUGCGCGACACGGAGGGCACCAUAGGAUAGAACCAAUAAUAAAACAUGCAACUCAAACUAAUCAUAGCAAUUCAUCAAUCACCGAUAGGACAACGAAAAUCUACUCGGACAUCAUAGUAUGGCAACACAUCAUUGGAAAAUAAUAUGAAGCAUAAAGCACCAUGUUCAAGUAGAGGGUACAUCGGGUUGCGGGAGAGUGGACCGCUGGAUAUAGAUGGGGGAAGGUGAUGGAUAUGUUGGUGAAGAUGGCGGAGGUGUUGGUGAAGAUCGCGGUGAUGAUGAUGGCCCCCGGCAGCGCUCCGGCGCCACCGGAAGCAAGGCGGAGAGAGGCCCCCUUCUUCUUCUUCUUCCUUGAACUCCUCCCUAGAUGGGAGAAGGGUUUACCCUCUGGUCCUUGGCUCCCAUGGCUUGGGAGGGGCGAGAGCCCCUCCGAGAUUGGAUCUAUCUCUCUGUUUCUGUGUUCUGUGAUUCUGCCCCUUCACCGUUUCCUUUAUAUCUGGAGAUUCGUAACUCCGAUUGGGGUGAAUCUUUCACCCAGAUUUUUCUUGUAAAAUUAGCUUUCUUCCGGCAAAAGAAGAGCGUAAACCACCUUAUGGGUGGACCACGAGAGUCCAGGGCGCGCCCAAGGGGGAGGGCGCGCCCCCCUGUCUCGUGGCCACCCCGGACACCGUUUUGCGUUGAUUCUUCCUCCGAAAAAUCCCAAAUAUUCCAAAAUAAUUCUCCAUCUGUUUUUAUCCCGUUUGGAUUCCGUUUGAUAUUGGUUUUCUGCGAAACAUAAAACAUGCAACAGACAGGAACUGGCACUGGGCACUGGAUCAAUAUGUUAGUCCCAAAAAUAAUAUAAAAAGUUGCCGAAAGUAUAUGAAAGUUGAAGAAUAUUGGCAUGGAACAAUCAAAAAUUAUAGAUACGACUGAGACGUAUCAACCCCCUCUUUUGGUUAAUGGAACUGUUUCAACCUUGGAACAUGUGAUGCAAAGGCUUGAAAUUAUUGAAAAUAAAGUUGCCACUGUUGAGUUUAUUGAAAAUUUGGAUAAAAAGAUCCAUAACCAAAUUACCCAAUAUGGAUCAAGGGUUGGAGUUACUUUGAAUUCUUUUUAAAGAGAAGGAACCUAUAGUUAACAAAAGAAUAGAUCUUGAUUCUACAAGAAUCGAUAAACUUGAGGAUAUUAUUACCAACUUAGGUUCUUACUUUUCAUCCAUGAAAAACACUUCAACCCCUCCUACCAAAAUUUCCAAAUUGAUGUAUGUUCCUAAAAAUAAGGGUGAAUCUUCUAGUAAGGAAAAUGCGGAUCUCAAAUCAAUAAGUGUUCAUCCCAAUUGUCUUUCUAUCAUAAAGGAACCCUUUGCUUCAAUUGAAUUUCUUGAUUUCUUGCCUAGGAGUUUAAUCACUAAAAGAAAAGAAACUCCUAAAAGCUAUAAGUGCUCUAUUGAAAAAUUGAAUGCCAAAGAUGGCACUACUUAGAUCUAUCCUCGCUUUUAUGCCUAGCUAGGGGCGUUAAACGAUAGCGCUUGUUGGGAGGCAACCCAAUUUUAUUUUUGUUUCUUACUUUUUGCUCCUGUUUAGUAAUAAAUAAUUUGUAUAUCUUCUGUUUAGAUGUGGUUUUAUGUUUUAAUUAGUGUUUGUGCAAAGUAGAACCUUUGGGAAGACUUGGGUGAAGUUUAUACGAUCGUGCUGUAAAAAACAAAAACUUUAGCGCUCACGAGAUUUGCUGUCAUGUUUUACUAGAAAGUGCUUUUUAGUUGAUUCUUUUUGCAGAUGAUUAAUAGACAAAUUACUCACGUCCACCAGUUUAGUUUAGAUUUGUUGUAGUUCCAGAAGUAUUUGAAAAUUACAGAUUUCUACAGACUGUUCUGUUUUUGACAGAUUCUCUUUUUCGUGUGUUGUUUGCUUAUUUUGAUGCAACUAUGGCUAGUAUUAAGGGGUAUGAACCAUAGAGAAGUUGUAAUACAGUAGAUUUAACACCAAUAUAAAUAAAGAAUGAGUUCAUUACAGUACCUUAUGUGGUGGUUUUUCUUUCUUACACUAACGGAGCUUACGCGAUUUCUUGUUGAGUUUUGUGUUGUGAAGUUUUCAAGUUUUGGGUAAAGAUUUGAUGGACUAUGGAAUAAGGAGUGGCAAGAGCCUAAGAUUGGGGAUGCCCAUGGCACCCCAAGAUAUUCAAGGAUAACCAAAAUCCUAAGCUUGGGGAUGCCCCGGAAGGCAUCCCCUCUUUCGUCUUCGUCUAUCGAUAACUUUACUUGGAGCUAUAUUUUUAUUCGCCACAUGAUAUGUGUUUUGCCUGGAGCGUCUUGUAUGAUAUUAGUAUUUGCUUUUUAAAUCACCACAAUCAUCCUUGCUGUACACACCUUUUGGGAGAAAUCCACUUGAUUGGAAUUUAUUAGAAUACUCUAUGUGCUUCACUUAUAUCUUUUGAGCUAGAUAGUUUUUGCUCUAGUACUUCACUUAAAUCUUUUAGAGCACAGCGGUGGCUUGAUUUUGUAGAAAUUGUUAAUCUCUCAUUCUUCACCUAUAUUAUUUUGAGAGUCUCUUAGAACAGCAUGGUAUUUGCUAUGGUCAUAAAAUUGGUCUUAGAAUGAUGGGCAUCCAAGUUGGGUAUAAUUAAAACUAUCAUAGGGAGUGAAUUGGAUGCUAUGAUCAAUUUGAUACUUGUGAUAUUAGAGUCAUGCUAGUUGGGUAAUUGUGAAUUUAAAGAAUGCUUGUGUUGAAGUUGGCAAGUCCGUAGCAUGAACGUAUGGUAAAAGUUGUGUAACAAAUUUGAAACAUGAGGUGUUCUUAGAUUGUCAUCCUUAUGAGUGGCGGUCGGGGACGAGCGAUGGUCUUUUCCUAUCAAUCUAUCCCCCUAGGAGCAUGCGCGUAGUGCUUGGUUUUUGAUGACUUGUAGACUUUUGCAAUAAGUAUAUGAGUUCUUUAUGACUAAUGUUGAGUCAAUGGAUUAUACACACUUUUAUCUUUCCAUCAUUGCUAGCCUCUUCGGUACCGUGCAUUGCCCUUUCUCACCUUGAGAGUUGGUGCAAACUUCGCCGGUGCAUCCAAACCCCGUGAUAUGAUACGCUCUAUCACACAUAAGCCUCCUUAUAUCUUCCUCAAAACAGACACCAUACCUACCUAUUAUGGCAUUUCCAUAGCCAUUCCGAAAUAUAUUGCCAUGCAACUUUCCACCGUCCUGUUCAUCAUCAUGACACGCAUCAUCAUUGUCAUAUUGCCUUGCAUGAUCAUGUAGUUGACAUCGUAUUUGUGGCAAAGCCACCAUGCAUAAUUUUUCAUACAUGUCACUCUUGAUUCAUUGCCCAUCCCGGUACACCGCCGGAGGCAUUCAUAUAGAGUCAUAUCUUAUUCUAGUUUUGAGUUGUAAUUCAUGAGUUGUAAAUAAAUAGAAGUGUGAUUAUCAUCAUUAUUAGAGCAUUGUCCCCAAAUAAAAAAAGGGGGAAAGCCCAAAAGAAAAAAAAGAAAGGCCCAAAAAAGGGGCAAUGUUACUAUCCUUUUCCACACUUGUGCUUCAAAGUAGCACCAUGUUCUUCAUAUAGAAAGUCUUUUAUGUUGUCACUUUCAUAUACUGAAAGGAUCGAGAAGAGGUGUCUAGAGGGGGGGUGAUUAGACACUAAGUACCAAAAGUUAUAGUUUUUAACUUCUUUAAGUUGGAGUGGAGUUGGCACAAGUUUAACACUCACAAUACAUAACAAGCAAGCAUGCCAAGAGUAUAUGAGCAGCGGAAAGUAAAGCAUGCAACUUGCAAGAAUGUAAAGGGAAGGGUUUGGAGGAUUCAAAUGCAAUUGGAGACACGGAUGUUUUUGUCGUGGUUCCGAUAGGUGGUGCUAUCGUACAUCCACGUUGAUGGAGACUUCAACCCACGAAGGGUAACAGUUGCGCAAGUCCACGGAGGGCUCCACCCAUGAAGGGUCCACAAAGAAGCAACCUUGUCUAUCCCACCAUAUCCGUCGCCCACGAAGGACUUGCCUCACAAGCGGUAGAUCUUCACGAAGUAGGCGAUCUCCUUGCCCUUACAAACUCCUUGGUUCAACUCCACAAUCUUGUCGGAGGCUCCCAAGUGACACCUAGCCAAUCUAGGAGACACCACUCUCCAAGAAGUAACAAAUGGUGUGUUGAUGAUGAACUCCUUGCUCUUGUGCUUCAAAUGAUAGUCUCCCCAACACUCAACUCUCUCUCACAGGAUUUAGAUUUGGUGGAAAGAGGAUUUGAGUGGAAAGCAACUUGGGGAAGGCUAGAGAUCAAGAUUCAUAUGGUAGCAAUGGAAUAUAUUGGCCUCAACAUAUGAGUAGGUGGUUCUCUCUCAGAAAAUAGGAUGCUGGAAGUGUAGGUUUGUUCUGAUGGCUCUCUCUACGAAUGAAGAGGAGGUGGAGGGGUAUAUAUAGCAUCCACACAAAAUCUAACUGUUACACAUAAUUUACCAAUCUCGGUGGGCCCGAAUCAACAAACUUGGUCAGACCGAUUUAGUAAACCUAGUGACCGUUAGGAUUUUCGGUGGGACGACAUGCAACUUGGUAGGACCGAUAUGGUUAGGGUUAGGGCAUAACGUAAUCUCGAUGAGGCCAAUUACACAAACUCGGUGAGACCGAUUUUGGUAAUAAGCUAACCAGACAGUUGGUCAGGCAAACUCGCUGAGACCGAUUACACAAACUCGGUGGGACCGAUUUUGGUAAUAAGCUAACCAGAGAGUUUGCAUUGUAAUCUCGGUAGUAACGAUUUCUCAAACUCGGUGAGACCAAUUUUGGUAAUGGACAUACACAGAGACAUUACAGUCCCAUCUCAGUGAGACCGAGAUCCCUAUCGGUGAGACCGAUUUGCCUAGGGUUUGUGGCAGUGGCUAUGACAUCUGAACUCGGUGGCCCCGGAUAGAAAGAAUCGGUAGGGUCGAGUUUUACUUUUGGUUUAGGACAUAUGUGGAUGUGAGAAAGUAGUUGAGGGCUUUGGAGCAUAUCACUACGCACUUUGAGCAAGCAAGCCAUUAAGAAACACCUCAUCCCCUCUUGAUAGUAUUGGCUUUUCCUAUAGACUCAAUGUGAUCUUGGAUCACUAAAAUAGAAAAUGUAGGGUCUUGAGCUUGGAGCUUGAGCCAAUCCUUUGUCCUUAGCAUUUAGAAGGGGUUCCACAUCCUUUAGUCCAUGCCACUCCAUUGUUGAACUUGUGUGAAACAUACUAGGUAAAAGUGUUAGUCCAACAAGAGAUAUGUUGACAUUAAUUACCAAAAUCACUCAGGGAGCACUUGUGCUUUCAAUCUACCCCUUUUUGGUAAUUGAUGACAACAUACAUCAAAGCUUUAGAUAAAGAUAUAGAGAAUAGCAAGUAAAGCUUCGGAAAGACAUGUAACAAGCAUAGGCUCCCCCUACAUGUAUGCAAUCAUGUGAAUAUGGAAUAUAGAAGCAUGUGAGAGCAUAACCAUGAUAGAGUAGCCAAUGUGUUACAUGUAUCUUGGCUAUAUGCAUCAGAGCAAAAGAUAGCAACAGAUGUGUGUGUGGGAAAUGUACCUUCAUGCUCAUGAGUCCUUCUUGCAAACAAUAUGUACAUCAGCAAGAAUUACUCAUACACAUGACUGUGAUGCAUAUACUUACCUUGUAGUCUUGAGUUUGCUUAGGAUGGAAUGAACCUGUGUAAACAAGGUUAGAUAACACAGAUACACCUACUAGCCAGAGCAAACAGAAGAAACCACAAGAAUACCAAGACUGGGAUGACAUGUAGAGAGUGAGUACUAAGUACCACAUAGACAUGUCCCCAAAGGUAAAGAUGUGCAAUGAAUUUAAGGAAUUUCUUUCCCUUAGAUGUCUUGCUCCCCCUAAAUCUAGCAUGGGAUACUAGGAGAAGAUAGGGAACAGAAAAAUAGAGCAAAAUGCAAAAUCAGAGAUAAUGCAAAUAGGAAAAGACAUGUGGCAUCUCUCCUCUUGAACACCAAGCAUCUGGGAUCCUUGAGGAUUACUCUCUUCUUGAGUAUUCUCUCCCCCUGGAGAUCUUUCUCUCCCCCUGUGGAAGUGAUAAGCUUUGAUGUGAUCUCUCUCUCCCCCUUUGACAUCAAUUCCCAAGAAGGGCCUUCUGGAAUUUGUCGUGAAUGGGUUUGGUCCUUGAGUCACAGCACAAAGCACUGAUAAAAGUGUGAUGCUUGUAGAGGACAAGUUUCAUUGAGUGGAGCUGGAUCAAAAGUAAAGUAGGAAUAAAUGGCAAAAUGUUUUUCCUGUUGUCAAAUCGGUGGCACCGAGUGGUAUGCUUCGGUUGCACCGAAAGGAUUCGGUUGGACCGAAAACAAACCGUGAGAUCGAGUUCAUCACAGAGAAAACACUUGUCACCUCAGCUCACUAGACAAGUAAGAUCUCACAAGGAUUUGCAAGGAAUUAACUGAAAGAUUUGCAAUGAAUUGGAUGUAGGGAAUGCAGAACAAAUAGAAAAGAAAGAAAUCUAGAUGAAGUUUUUUUUUAUUACUUUGAAAGGGAAACAAACAUGCAUGAGAAAAAUGCAAGAGCACGGAAAAGAACACAAGUAAAUUUUAUCUAGAGAUGGUCAGCGACAAGGUCACCUAUGUUAGAGUAUAUUGACUUAGGAGUCAAGUGAGAUCACUUGAUCAUAGGUCAUACUCAUCGUUUAAGCUCAAAAUGGGGUUAACAUUUAUUGUUUAAGCAUCUUGAUGUAUUCACAUCUUGUCGAGUUGCUUUGACUCAUGUCUUGGAGUAAAGCUUCUCUAGGAUGGAAUGACAUACCUUGGGUGGUGGUGUUGAUCAUGUAGUUGAACUUGUGUGGGUUGCUCAAGGUUGAUGUAGCUCAUCAAGAGUUGGGAGCACCACUUGGAAUUUGAGUUCAUCUACCUACAUGGGUUAGUUUUUGCAAGGAAGAGCACUUGUGUGUCCAAAAUGACAAUCAUGAAACUCAACAUAGAAUUUGUCAAAGGAUAUGUUCGAAUGGUUCCGUGCUUCCUUGUCUUCAACCACCAUUGUGUAAAGACUUGGUGAUGUAGAGAUUGCUCAAGAUAUGAGUAGGUUACAAUCUCAUGGAAUUUGAUUCAACCAAGUACCUACAUGGGUUAGAUAACAUGCAAGGUGCAAGUAUAUCCAAGACAUAAGAUUAUCAUCAUAAGAGAAAUAUCAAGGAUUAGUCAUAAACUCAUGUCUUGCAUGUAUCCAAUGGAGUUUCUACUCCAAGUUUGAAGCAUCAAUGAUGUUCAAUUCACCUCUUAACCUGCAAAACACUUUCUCAUCAAGUGGUUUAGUGAAAAUAUCCGCUAAUUGUUUUUCGGUGCGAAUAUGCUUAAGAUUUAUGUCCCCUUUGGCAACAUGAUCUCGAAUGAAAUGAUGACGAACUUCAAUAUGCUUAGUUCGAGAAUGUUGCACUAGAUUGUGAGGAAUCUUGAUAGCACUUUCAUUGUCACAAAGUAAUGGAACAUGUUUCACAUAUAUCCCAUAAUCUUUAAGAGUUUGGGUCAUCCAAAGUAGUUGAGCACAACAUGAACCAGCGGCAAUGUAUUCCGCUUUGGCGGUGGAUAAGGAUACCGAGUUUUGUUUCUUGGAAGACCAAGAUACAAGAGAUCUACCAAGAAAUUGACAAGUACCCGAAGUGGACUUUCUAUCAACCUUGUCACCGGCAUAGUCUGAGUCGGAGUAGCCAACAAGAUCGAAUGAGGCCCUCUUAGGAUACCAAAUGCCAAAAUUUGGUGUAUGGAUUAAGUAUCUCACUAUCCUUUUCACGGCCUUAAGAUGACAUUCUUUAGGAGCAGCUUGAUAUCGUGCACACAUGCACACACUUAGCAUGAUACCGGGACGUGAAGCACGUAGAUAUAACAAUGAACCAAUCAUAGAGCGAUAAACCUUUUGAUCAACCGGUUCACCAUCUUUGGUCAAGUCAAGAUGUCCACUAGUAGGUUGGGUGUAGUCAUAUCUUUGCAUUCUUGCAUAUUGAACUUCUUGAAUAAGUCCUUGGUGUACUUCGUUUGAGAGACAAAGGUACCCUCCUUAGUUUGCUUGAUUUGCAAACCAAGAAAGAAUUUGAGUUCACUCAUCAUAGACAUCUCAAACUUCUCCGACAUUAGCUUCCCAAAUUUUUCACUAAAAUGAGGGUUAGUAGAACCAAAUAUAAUAUCAUCAACAUAGAUUUGGCACACAAACAGUUCUCCAUUAACCCUUUUAGUAAAAAGAGUAGAAUCUAUAUUUCCAAUUUCAAACCCUUUUUCAAUAAGGAACUUGGUCAAGCAUUUAUACCAUGCUCUAGGAGCUUUCUUAAGACCAUAAAGAGCUUUGUGAAGUUCAUAAACAUGAUUAGGUUUCUUAGGAUUAACAAAGCCAGGAGGUUGUUUAACAUAAACUUCCUCCUCUAUUUCACCAUUUAGAAAAGCACUUUUAAUGUCCAUUUGGUACAAGGUGAUAUCAUGGUGAUUAGCAUAGGCAAGUAAGAUGCGAACGGACUCAAGUCUAGCAACAGGAGCAUAAGUCUCACCAUAGUCCAUACCUUCGACUUGUGUGUAGCCUUGGGCGACGAGACGUGCUUUGUUGCGAACUACUUGUCCAUCUUCAUCUUGCUUGUUGCGAAACACCCAUUUGGUACCGAUGAUGUUGUGAUUGUUGUCGGGCUUCUCAACCAAUGUCCAAACUUGAUUUCUCUCAAAGUUGUGUAGCUCUUCAUGCAUGGCAUUUAUCCAAUCCAGAUCUUCCAAUGCUUCUUCAACCUUCAUAGGUUCAAUUCUAGGGAUGAAUGAAUAGUGUUCACAAAAGUUAGCUAAACGAGUUUUAGAGCGAGUGAUUCUCCCGGUUUGGAUAUCGUUGUAGAUUUGCUCGACGGGAUGGUCUUUAGCAAUUCUUGCUCGAACUCGUGAAAGCUUUUGCUUGGGUCUUGGUUGAACAUCUCCUUCAUCUUAUUCUUCUUCUUGGCCUUCUUCAUUGUUGGCGUUGUCGUUCUCUUGUCGUGGUGGAGAAGGAGGUUGUUGACGUUCUUGGUGUACUUCCUUGUUUUCUUCAUCUUAGUGUGUCCCACUUGUGGAUGCUUCUGUAUCAACUCUUGGUUCACCUUGUCGUGAGGUAGAAGCUUCCACUUGGACGGACGAGGUACUCUUCUUCACCUCCGUUGGACGAAUCUUGCCAAUAGACAAGUCUUGGAUUGCUUCUGAGGGUUCUUUGUCUCCUACAUCAAUUGGCAAUUGCUCUACUUGCGAGCCGUUAGAUUCAUCAAACUCCACAUCUACCGUUUCUUCAACCUUUCGGGUGAAAUUGUUGUAGACACGGUAUGUGUGAGAGUUUGAGCCAUAACCAAGUAGGAAACCUUCAUGAGACUUAGGAGCAAAUUUAGAACGAUGAUGCUUAUCAAGAAUGUAGCACUCUAAGCCGAAUACUCGAAAGUAUCCAACUUGGGGUUUGUUACCGGUGAGGAGCUCGUAUGCCGUCUUGCCGAGUAGCUUGUGAAGAUACAAGCGAUUUGUUGCAUGAUAAGCCGUCUCAACCGCUUCCGCCCAAAAGUGCUUUGGCGUCUUGUACUCAUCAAGCAUCGUUUCCGCCAUUUCGAUGAGCGUCCGGUUCUUCCUCUCAACAACUCCAUUUUGUUGAGGUGUGUGCGUAGCCGAGAACUCGUGUGAAAUCCCUUCUUCGUCAAGAAAGGUGUCCACAUUUGCGUUCUUGAACUCCGUUCCGUUGUUGCUACGAACCUUCUUGAUCUUCAGUUCAAAUUGAUUUUGGGCUUCUUAGCGAAGUUUUUGAAGAUCUUUUGGACCUGCGAUUUAUCAUCGAGAAAGAACACCCACAUAAAUCUUGAAAAAUCAUCAACUAUAAUUAGACCAAAAGAAUUUCCACCGAUACUCUUGUAAGUGUUGGGACCAAAAAGAUCCAUGUGAAGUAGCUCGAGUGGCCUCCUUGUGGUCAUGAUGUUUUUCACGGGAUGCCUUCCUCCAACCUGUUUACCUGCUUGACAAACGCUGCAAAGUCUAUCCUUAUCAAAUAUGACAUCGUUAACUCCAAGGAUAUGAUUUCCUUUAAUAAGCUUGUCAAGGUUUCGCAUACCAACAUGUCCUAAUCGUCUAUGCCAUAACCAACCUUUAGAAGAUUUAGCAAUAAAGCAAGUUCUAGGUUGAGCCUUUUUAGUGAAGUCAACAAUGUAUAGAUCACCUUUACGAACACCGGUAAAGACCAUUUUAUGAUUAUCUCUACGAAACACUUGGCAAUAUACUUUAGUGAAUAGGACAUUGAAACCGAAAUCAGCAAGUCUAGAUACUGAAAGUAAGUUGUAGCCAAGAGAUUCAACGAGCAUGACAUUUUGUAUGGAGCUAUCAUGUGAUAUGGCCACCUUACCGAGGCCAACCACCUUACCCUUUGAGUUGUCAUCGAAAGUGACAUACUUUCGAGUACCAUCGUCUUCAGCAAGCUCACGAAAUAUGUCUUUAUCUCCGGUCAUGUGAUCGGUACAUCCACUAUCAAGAACCCAUUCCUUUCCUCCUGCCAUAUAUCCCCGAAGAUUUGCCAUAAGACCAAAGUGUCUCAUUGCAUCAUCAAGAUCCAAGUCACUAUCAUCAUCCUCAUCAUAGUAUCCAUGUUCAACAUCGUCAUGUGGUGGAUCAAAUCUUAGAGAGGGUGAUUCGUUAGAGGGAGUUUGAUAAUGAUCUUGCUUAUGAAUUUUUAUAGCUUCGGAAAUAAUAUCACUAAUAAUUCCAACAUCUCCUUUGGCACGCAUAAGGUGUGUAAGCUCAAAUAGACAAUCACCAAACAUAGGAUCACUAGAAUUCAUCUUACUCAAGGCAAUAGACUUAUGGAGAAUUUCAUAUAGAUUUUUCAAGGAAAAAAUUGGAAAAUGUUCCUCAGGAAAUUUCCAUAUGGUGUAGGCACAUUUAAGAGUAGGCAAACAUCCUAUCAAGUUUCUAGGCAAGCCUCUAGUGAUAAGUUCAACAGUUCUAAGAUUGCGAAUCAUGUCAAUUGACUCAUCAAGGGUAGGAUGCAUAGGAUCAACAUGAGGUGCACAAGGGCUAGCAAUGUACUUGUUCAAAUGAUAUUGACUGAAAAUCACAAGCAUCUCAUUUUUCCACUCAUGAAAGUACUCUCCAUCAAGUAUAGGCACUCUAUGUCUAAGACUCCCAAUAGUAGACUCAUCCAUCUUCCUCCAAUGGUGUUUAAACCAAAUCAAUGGAGACCAAAGCUCUAAUACCAAUUGAAAGGAUCGAGAAGAGGUGUCUAGAGGGGGGUGAUUAGACACUAAGUACCAAAAGUUGCAGUUUUUAACUUCUUUAAGUUGGAGUGGAGUUUAGGCACAAGUUUAACACUCACAAUACAUAACAAGCAAGCAUGCAAAGAGUAUAUGAGCAGCGGAAAGUAAAGCAUGCAACUUGCAAGAAUGUAAAGGGAAGGGUUUGGAGGAUUCAAACGCAAUUGGAGACACGGAUGUUUUUGUUGUGGUUCCGAUAGGUGGUGCUAUCGUACAUCCACGUUGAUGGAGACUUCAACCCAUGAAGGGUAACGGUUGUGCGAGUCCACGGAGGGCUCCACCCACGAAGGGUCCAUGAAGAAGCAACCUUGUCUAUCCCACCAUGGCCGUCGCCCAUGAAGUACUUGCCUCACUAGCGGUAGAUCUUCACGAAGUAGGCGAUCUCCUUGCCCUUACAAAAUCCUUGGUUCAACUCCACAAUCUUGUCGGAGGCUCCCAAGUGACACCUAGCCAAUCUAGGAGACACCACUCUCCAAGAAGUAACAAAUGGUGUGUUGAUGAUGAACUCCUUGCUCUUGUGAUUCAAAUGAUAGUCUCCCCAACACUCAACUCUCUCUCACAGGAUUUGGAUUUGGUGGAAAGAAGAUUUGAGUGGAAAGCAACUUGGGGAAGGCUAGAGAUCAAGAUUCAUAUGGUAGGAAUGGAAUAUCUUGGCCUCAACACAUGAGUAGGUGGUUCUCUCUCAAAAAUAGGAUGCUGGAAGUGUAGGUUCGUUCUGAUGGCUCUCUCUACGAAUGAAGAGGAGGUGGAGGGGUAUAUAUAGCCUCCACAGAAAGUCUAACCGUUACACACAAUUUACCAAUCUCGGUGGGACCGAAUCAACAAACUCGGUCAGACUGAUUUAGUAAACCUAGUGACCGUUAGGAUUUUCGGUGGGACCGACAUGCAACUCGGUAGGACCGAUAUGGUUAGGGUUAGGGCAUAAUGUAAUCUCGAUGAGACCGGUUACACAAACUCGGUGAGACCGAUUUUGGUAAUAAGCUAACCAGAGAGUUGGUCAGGCAAACUCGGUGAGACCAAUUACACAAACUCGGUGGGACCGAUUUUAGUAAUACGCUAACCAGAGAGUUUGCAUUGUAAUCUCGGUAGUACCGAUUGCUCAAACUCGGUGAGACCGAUUUUGGUAAUGGACAUACACAGAGAGAUUACAGUCCCAUCUCGGUGAGACCGAGAUCCCUAUCAGUGAGACCGAUUUGCCUAGGGUUUGUGGCAGUGGCUAUGACAUCUGAACUCGGUGGCGCCAGAUAGAAAGAAUCGAUAGGGCCGAGUUUGACUUUUGGUUUAGGACAUAUAUGGAUGUGAGAAGGUAGUUGAGGGCUUUGGAGCAUAUCACUAAGCACUUUGAGCAAGCAAGCCAUUAAGCAACACCUCAUCCCCUCUUGAUAGUAUUGGCUUUUUCUAUAGACUCAAUGUGAUCUUGGAUCACUAAAAUAGAAAAUGUUGAGUCUUGAGCUUGGAGCUUGAGCCAAUCCUUUGUCCUUAGCAUUUAGACGGGGUUCCACAUCCUUUAGUCCAUGCCACUCCAUUGUUGAACUUGUCUGAAACAUACUAUGUAAAAGUGUUAGUCCAACAAGAGAUAUUUUGACAUUAAUUACCAAAACCGCCCAGGGAGCACUUGUGCUUUCAUAUACUAGUGGGAAUUUUUCAUUAUAGAACUUGGCUUGUAUAUUCCUACGAUGGGCUUCCUCAAAUGCCCUAGGUCUUCGUGAGCAAGCAAGUUGGAUGCACACCCACUUACUUUCUUUUGAUGAGCUUUCAUACAUUUAUAGCUCUAGUGCAUCUGUUGCAUGGCAAUCCCUACUCCUCAUGUUGACAUCAAUUGAUGGGCAUCUCCAUAGCCCGUUGAUUAUCCUCUUCAAUGUGAUACUUUCUCUUUUUUGUCUUCUCCACAAAAUCCCCAUCAUCAUAUUCUAUUCCACCCAUAGUGUUAUAUCCAUGGCUCACGCUCGUGUAUUGCGUGAAAGUUGAAAAGGUUUGAUAUUAUUUAAGUACGAAACAAUUGCUUGGCUUGUCAUCCGGGGUGUGCAAGAUGAGAGCAUUUUUGUGUGACGAAAAUGAAGCAUGACCAAACUAUAUGAUUUUGUAGGGAUGAACUUUCUUUAGCCAUGUUAUUUUGAGAAGACAUGAUUGCUUUGAUUAGUAUGCUUGAAGUAUUACUAUUUGUUAUGUCAAUAUGAAUUUUUAUUUUGAAUCAUUUGGAUCUGAACAUUCAUGCCAUAAUAAAGAAAAUUACAUUGAGAAUUAUGCUAGGUAGCAUUCCACAUCAAAAAUUCUGUUUUAUCAUUUACCUACUCGAGGACGAGCAGGAAUUAAGCUUGGGGAUGCUUGAUAUGUCUCCAACGUAUCUAUAAUUUUUUAUUUUUCCAUGCUAUUAUAUUACCUGUUUUGGAUGUUUAUGGGCUUUACUUUACACUUUAAUAUCAUUUUUGGGACUAACCUACUAACUGGAGGCCCAACCCGAAUUGCUGUUUUUUUGCCUAUUUCAGUGUUUCGAAGAAAAGGAAUAUCAAACGGAGUCCAAAUGGAAUGAAACCUUCGGGAGCGAUCUUUUUGGAAUAAACGUGAUCCAGAGGGUUGGAGUGGAAGUCAAGAAACAAGCGAGGCGGACACGAGGAUGCCCGGCGCGCCCCCUACAGGUGGGCGCACCCCCACCCUUGUGGCCCCCUCGAGCGUCCACCAACCUACUUCUUCCUCCUACAUAUACCCACGUACCCCGAAAACAUCAGAAGCGACCACGAAAAACUAUUUCCACUGUCGUAACUUUCUGUAUCCGCGAGAUCCCAUCUUGGAGCCUUCGCCGGCGCUCCACCGGAGGGGGAAUCGAUCAUGGAGGGCCUCUACAUCAUCUCCAAGGCCUCUCCGAUGAGUUGUGAGUAGUUUACCACAGACCUUUGGGCCCAUAGUUAUUAGCUAGAUGGCUUCUUCUCUCUCUUUGAAUCUCAAUACAAAGUUCUCCUCGAUCUUCUUGGAGAUCUAUUCGAUGUAACUCCUUUUGCGAUGUGUUUGUCGAGAUCCGAUGAAUUGUGGGUUUAUGAUCAAGUUUAUCUAUGAGAAAUAUUUGAAACUCCUGUGAAUUAUUUUAUGUGUGACUAAGUUAUCUUUGCAAGUCUCUUCGAAUUAUCAGUUUGGUUUGGCCUACUAGAUUGAUCUUUCUUGCAAUGGGAGAAGUUCUUAGCUUUGGGUUCAAUCUUGCGGUGUCCUUUCCCAGUGACAGCAGGGGUAGAAAGGCACGUAUUGUAUUGUUGCCAUCGAGGAUAAAAAGAUGGGGUUUAUAUCAUAUUGCAAGAGUUUAUCCCUCUACAUCAUGUCAUCUUGCUUAAUGCGUUACUCCGUUCUUAUGAACUUAAUACUCUAGAUGCAUGCUGGAUAGCGGUCGAUGUUUGGAGUAAUAGUAGUAGAUGCAGGCAGGAGUCGGUCUACUUGUCACGGACGUGAUGCCUAUAUACAUAAUCAUGCCUAGAUAAUCUGAUAAUUAUUCGUUUUUCUAUCAAUUGCUCGACAGUAAUUUGUUACCUACCGUAAUACUUAUGCUAUCUUGAGAGAAGCCACUAGUGAAAUCUAUGGCCCCCGGGUCUAUAUGUUAUCAUAUAAGCUUUCAAUCUACUUUUAUUUGCAUCUUUACUUUUCCAAUCUAUAUCAUAAAAUAUCAAAAAUAUAUUUAUCUUAUCAUAUUAUCUCUAUCAGAUCUCACUUUCGCAAGUGGCCGUGAAGGGAUUGACAACCCCUUUAUUGUGUUGGUUGCGAGUUCUUGUUUGUUUGUGUAGGUGUGUAGGACUUUUGAGGAGACUCCUAGUAGAUUGAUACCUUGGUUCUCAAAAACUGAGAGAAAUACUUACGCUACUAUUGCUGCAUCACCCUUUCCUCUUCAAGGAAAACCAACGCAAGCUCAAGACGUAGCAAGACCCUAACCGCAUUAGAGAUUUUCUUCAAACAUACAAGGAGAUUGAAAAUGCAAACACCCACUUUCAACUUCAGGAGGAUCUCAUUGAGCACCAUUGGCAAUGGGCUGGACAGUGACUCAAUUUUGUAUUCAUUUGUAUUUGUAUUCAUGACAAGUUUUGUAUUGCAUUAUUUAAGUUUGCUACGGUGAUUUGAAAAUUUAUUUGCAAUGUGGAUGAUUAUUGUAUUAUGUUUGAUUUGAAUAAUUUAGUUUUUCUUUCGAUUUUUGUAUUAUGUUGGAUUUGAUAUUUGCGGGCUGAUGAGAUGCAGGAUGCAGUGGCGCAAAGAACAGAGCCCGCAAAGCCGACCCAUAAACAGCAUAUUCCAUUCCGGGAAUAUGCUUUUUUACGGGUCCGUUUGAGGGGUCUGCAUCUGUGGCCGUCCGCACCGGCCCGCAAAAACGGUUUUGUGCGAACUGCAAACGCGUUUUGCGGGCCGUCGGGAUGCGGGGUCUGCUAGAGUUGCUCUUAUGCAGCAUGACAUGCUCUAUAGAUGUAAAAUGUUAUUAUUGUUAUGCAUGUUUGUUGCUCAAAAAAGUAAGGGGAAACAUCAAACAGUGGUAAAAUUGAUGAAGUAUCCCCAUUUAAAAAUGGUAAUUAUCAAGUAAACUAAAAUUGACAGGCUUGUAUAUACAUAUUGAUGAAGUGUCCCCAUCAAACAAUGGUAUACAUCAAACAAUGACAUCGAUAAUCCAACAGCAAUGUUCACAGAUUGUACACACCAUCUACGAAAAUAAAUUGAAGAAAACCAUACAAAAAGAAAUAUGAGGACUAAACAAAUGUAUGACAUAUGUUCUCACACAAUGUUAUUAAUUGGCAACAUUCUUAUAACAGACACAUACCGAAUACAUAUAAAAAGAGAGAGGUGGGGAGAAGACCACUGAGGGGAUGUCAGGGUAGACGAAGACACCGAGGUGGAGGAGGAGGGCACCGGGUAGAUGGUAGUGCCUCGUAAUGGUUGGUGCUCGGCGUAUCGUCAGAUCUAGGUCUUGUUCGGCAUCGGGACAUGAGGGAGUCAACAUUUUGGGACACGCAAGGCAGCGGCAUCUAAUUCGAGGUGGGAUGGAGGCUCAUGGACAGUGGCCUCGCCUAGGAGCGGAGUCAAGGUGGUGUGUGGAUCAGAGGCGACAUCGCCGGUGUGGGAUCAUGGCCAAGAAGGCAAGAGGACUCAAGGGAGCGUGUGGAGAGGAGGGGAUGGUGGUCCGCGGGUGACCGGUGCGUAGGGAGGCAAACAGUUGGGGAGGCCGCCUAUGGAAAGGCGACAUUGGGUUGUGCCUACUCAUUAGUCGGUAGUUGUGGUGAUUGCAAGGAUUAGGAGCGGGUCGCUAAGCCGGCAUGUUUUGUUUGCGGUGGAGAAGCGAGCGAUUAUAUGAGAUAAUUGCGGGAAUAAUAACUAUGGACAGUAAUUGAGGGAGAUUAGGGCAUGUAGAAUGGUGCUAUCUUAGGAGUGUCAGGUAGGGUAAGUGCUGAGGUGGAGGACUAAGAAAAUAUAUGUGCCUUCUUUUAAUUAAGAGAUAAUCUGUUAGCACAACAUGUCUCACCUUGUUUUUAGAAGAAUAGCUAGUUAUUGGAGAUAUGGCGAAGACAUACUCCAUUGUACACAUAUUUUUAUUGCUAUCUCUAAAUCAUGUGAAAGAUUUAAGAUAAGAUUGUCUUAUCAACCAAUGUAAAUGGCUUGUAAUUGCGGGACAUUAGGUGCUAAACGUGCUGAGCACAUCAUACAUCAUUAGAACAAUGUUGAACGAUAGAUUAAGGCCUCUUUAUGAAAAUUGUUUGGAUUCAUUAAACUCACUCUUUUGUAAAUAGUGGACCUAAACCAUUUUACAUUUGUUUACAGAUGUAGUACUAUUUAUCUCUCAACUAGAGCAGCUCAAGCUGGAAGCAAUAAGGACAGGCGUGUGGCAGCCGGUAGGAGCGACGUGGAUUGAACCACCCCCAGGGUUCAAGAAGAAGGUCAACGUGGAUGCCACAUUGUCCAACAGCUCAUGUUUGGCGAGCAGUCACCGCAAUGGCAUCCAGGGUGCAACGAUGCAUGGGCACAUCGAUCAUCCACGAAAUUAAAGCGAGGGCAGGAGGUGCAAAUCAUACUCACUGAGUAUAUAUUCCACCUGAUGGCGUUUGUAUGAAUCAUAGUGUACUGUAUGUAGCCUAAAUACACGCACGUAUAUACCCACGCCAUCCCUUGGCUUGAUCACCAAAUUUACACAUACACACACAAAUAUAUAAAUACUUCACAUGUAGAAACCAACCACAAGUCCACAACACAUACCGACGUCGCCCCGCUGACAUUUCAGAGCUAAGUAGCGUCAGUCAUGGAGGGAGCCAGCCCGCAUGCAGAGAGGAAAGUGACAAGUGCAACCAUCGGUGUUGCAGAAACCAUUGAAGCAUGUUUCACCACAAUAGCUGGCUCCUAUGGGUGUUUUCAGGAUGAAACGUUCCCUUGCUAUCACUGGCGUCAUAUCCACUAGAGCCCGCGGCGAGCGUGCCAUGACCAUCGGAGCUGCCACGAGCAGCUGCAGAACCACCACCACCGACAUCACCACACCCAGUGCCGCCUUCUUGCUGGCACUCGCCAUCUCCCCUGGCCCUCUCUCUUUGUAAGUGUGUGUGUUUGAUUGGUAUUAGUUUGCACCCUCUACCUACACCUUUGAUCCCAGCCCUAUUUAUAGGUUCUUCACCUGUUCCCUGCUGUUGAUGUGUCUUUCUCGCAUCUUUAUUUUUGCUAUUUGUACUAGCGGACAACAUCGUCAUUAAUUGCAAGGUAUUUCAGAUACAUCCAUCAUAUAUGUGUUUUUUUGUGGUAAGUACACGUGGUUGUCAAUUAGUUUUUUUGUGGCAAAUAAAGUAUAAAUUAUGCAAAAAAAGAUACAAAUUAAUCAUAUUAGCACUAGUGUUUGAGUACAUCAAAUUGACCACACGAUUCACCUGCAAAAUAAAAUGAAAUUGACUACACUAUUGAAGCCACCCCAGCUUCAAAGUUGCCAUUUCUAACAUCUACCAAGGUGCCUCCAGUCCAUUCCCUUGGAGAUGAACAUGUCCAUCAAAAAUUAAGUUUCCGGUUAGCUCUCUCGGAAUUAAUAGGUCUGGAUCGUUCUCAGGGUUAUUACAUGUCCUAUAGUUGAGUGGAGCAAUACCCGAGCUUGGUAUAUACCUGACAAAUUACCACAUGGGGGUCAACCAAUGAGAAGUGAUACAAUGACGACGAUAGACCAACAAUCUAGCUAGAUCUACUACUUGACAAAAGCUAAUAGGUGAGAUCUAUUUUUGUUUACUCAUAGAAAAUGGGUGUUUUGAAAGGAAACAUGCAUCGUUUGACACUAUCGUCGUGGAACAGCGGGAUGGAAUGUGGAACAGCGGGAUUCUUCAAAAGAAUGAAAUAAUAUACAUUGUAUUAUGCAAUGUAUAUCAACAGCUAUGAUGCCAAAUAAAUAUCACAUUUGAUACCGUGGGUGUCCAUAUUUACCCCUAUAUAUAAACUCAGUCAAACAUUGUAAAGUUCAACUUGUGACAAUCUUUAUAUGCACUAUUCUAUUUCGGAACAGAGUGAGUAUGAGACAGUUCGAAAAGUAUAACAAUAUACCCCCUUCAAAGUGACCACAACAGUUUACUUUUUGGUGAAAAAACAGCAAAAAAUAUGCAAAAAAAAAGGAACAAUACAAAUUAAUUCAUAUAAACACACAUAUUUGACUACAUAACUUCAACAGCACCGCCAUGGUUUCCACCAUCUCCAAGUUCCCAUUCCUAACAUAUACCAAGGUGCCUCCAGUCCAUCGCGUAGAUGUACAUCUCCCAUCAUAAAUUAAGUUUCCAGUUAGCCCUAUUAAGAAUAGAUUCGAAUAGCUCACAAGGUUACUACAUUAAAAAACAAAGUUUACAUGAGAUUCGAAGAUCAUUUCCUUGGUAGUAAUACAUAAUAUUUACUGGUGAUCAAAAGUUUAAUCUCAAUUUUUGAUUCCACACACAAGAUGUACAUUUUAAACAAACAACUAGUACAUUAUCCAGCUCGGCUAACAUUAUUUCCCCUUGCGUACUGCCUCUUCCACAGUCCUCAUGCGAGUGGGAAUGGGAGCCACACAAAAUAUUGUUUCUUAAUCGAAGAGAAUUCGGUGUUUAGUACUCACUCUAUUCAAAUAGUUGUACUAAGUCAGCGAUACUUAAUUUGGAACAGAGAGAGUAAUUCUUUUCCCUUGCAUACUGCCUCUUCCACAGUCCAAAAGCUAUCUGGGCUAAUUCAUUGUCUUACUGCAAACUCUGAUGAUGACUAGAAGAAAGAUGAUGAUUACUUAGCAGCUGAGUCCUAACGUGCUUCGCAUUCAUGUGUGGUGCAGAAGUAGAAGCACUUACACAUCUUUGCUACCUACAGACAACCGGAAUCCUGUCAGUCCAAGUCCUGAGAGUUUGUCACCCAUCUUCAAGGCAAGUUUAUGCUGCUCUGUACACCUAUGAAUGGGUAUAUGGGCCUGUCAAAGGUGUCUUGAUAAUUGGAGACAAACUCACACACGAGGAACAAUUUUCGUGUUGGAUCCAGAUAGCUUGAUCAUGCAUGCAUGUGCAUCAGCGUUACAUGAUGACUGUCCUCUCCAUGCUUUGCCACCAGCAUGCUACUGAAGGAAAUAUGCCCUAGAGGCAAUAAUAAAGUUAUUAUUUAUUUCCUUAUAUCAUUGAUAAAUGUUUAUUAUUCAUGCUAGAAUUGUAUUAACCGGAAACUUAGUACAUGUGUGGAUAUAUAGACAAACAGAGUGUCACUAGUAUGCCUCUACUUGACUAGCUCGUUGAAUCAAAGAUGGUUAAGUUUCCUAGCCAUAGACAUGAGUUGUCAUUUGAUUAACGGAAUGAUGUGAUUGACUUGACCCAUUCCGUUAGCUUAGCACUUGAUCGUUUAGUAUAUUGCUAUUGCUUUCUUCAUGACUUAUACAUGUUCCUAUGACUACGAGAUUAUGCAACUCCCGGAUACCGGAGGAACACUUUGUGUGCUACCAAACGUCAUAACGUAACUGGGUGAUUAUAAAGGUGCUCUACAGGUGUCUCUGAUGGUACUUGUUGAGUUGGCAUAGAUCGAGAUUAGGAUUUGCCACUCCGAUUGUCGGAGAGGUAUCUCUGGGCCCUCUCGGUAAUGCACAUCACUAUAAGCCUUGCAAGAAAUGUGACUAAUGAGUUAGUUAGGGGAUGAUGCAUUGAGGAACGAGUAAAGAGACUCACCGGUAAUGAGAUUGAACUAGGUAUUGAGAUACCGAUGAUCGAAUCUCGGGCAAGUAACAUACCAAUGACAAAGGGAACAACAUAUAUUGUUGUGCGGUUCGACCGAUAAAGAUCUUCGUAGAAUAUGUAGGAGCCAAUAUGGGCAUCCAGGUUCCGCUAUUGGGUAUUGACCAGAGAGGUGUCUCAGUCAUGUCUACAUAGUUCUCGAACCCGUAGGGUCCGCAUGCUUAACGUUCGUUGACGAUAUAGUAUUAUAUGAGUUAUGUAUGUUGGUGACCGAAUGUUGUUCGGAGUCCCGGAUAAGAUCACGAACAUGACGAGGAACUCCGAAAUGGUCCGGAGAUAAAUUUUGAUAUAUGGGACAAUAGUGUUUGGUCUCGGGAAGGGUUCCGGAAUUCACCGGGAGGGGUUCCAGAUGUUUCCCGAAAUGUUUGGGUAUGAGAACACUUUAUUUGGGCCAAAGGGGAAAGCCCACAAGGUUUUUGGAAAGCGCAAAAGGAAGUUUUGUGGAGUCCAGGGGCCAGAUGCCAUGGUCCCUGGCGUGUGGGUCCAGAUGCCGGGAACCCUGGCGUUUGGCCCUGGAGUCCGAGAAGGACUCUUGCCUUUUGGGUGAAACUGACUUUGUGGAGGCUUUUACUCCAAGUUUCGACCCCAGGGCUCAACAUAUAAAUAGAGGGGCAGGGCUAGCACCAAAGACACAUCAAAAAGCACCAAUCCGUGUGCCGGCAACCCCGUCCCCUCUAGUUUAUCCUCCGUCAUAGUUUUCGUAGUGCUUAGGCGAAGCCCUGCGGAGAUUGUUCUUCACCAACACCGACACCAUGCCGUCAUGCUGCCGGAACUCAUCUACUACUUCGCCCCUCUUGCUGGAUCGAGAAGGCGAGGACGUCAUCAAGCUAAACGUGUGCUGAACGUGGAGGUGACGUACGUUCAGUACUUGAUCAGGACGGAUCGUGAAGGUGUACGACUACAUCAACCGCAUUGUCAAACGCUUCCGCUUACGGUCUACGAGGGUACAUGGACUACACUCUCCCCUCUCGUUGCUAUGCAUCACCAUGAUCUUGCGUGUGCGUAGGAAUUUUUUUGAAAUUACUAUGUUCCCCAACAACUACAUCCGUGUCUUAAUUGUUAGUGGCAAACUCAUUUGCACCCCAAGGCAGUUGGUGAUUCCUGGUGUAAGGAAUCACUGAUUUAAUCAGCUUGUUUUUCUAGGCUAUGCUAUCUGGUUCUGCUAACAUCCUUUGUGGUGCUCCUAUACAAUGUAAGAGGGGGUAAGAAAGAGAUCAAAAUAUAUUACCAAAGUCUAUUGACCAUGCUUUGAUGAGGUAAAAUAUUUCCCUUUUACAGGAGAUGCUUUUUGGUGUUCAUGUGUUAACAUUAAGACAUGCCAUCUCAUAAAUCUAUAAUGCUCAAUCCAAUAUUUAUCUCCUAGUAUUAAAUACUAAAUAAAAUUAUGCUGAAGAUACCAUCAUACUCAUUUUUUCAUUUGCGAAUAUGGAUUAUUGUUGUUACUAAGAACAUUUGGAUUUCAUUUUUCCACUUGACCUACCCAUCAUGAUCAGUUCCAUGAUUUUAUCAGAAAUGCAAGCUUUAUCAUCUGAAUAAAUGUGUAGAUAUAUACCUAAAUACUAACUGAGCAUAUGAAGCCACCAUUUGCAACGAUGAAUCUGGCUAGUUGAUUUAUGUGCAAGUACAACCAUCAACCAUGUGGCUUCCACCUGGCGUGUCCCAUGCAUGAUAAGUGAGAUCCAUAAACUAAGGCUAAUCAUGAAUCUUAUGGUAGGUGUAAUGCAACUGACAACCUUCUAGUUUUAUGGUAGGCCUAACACCAUUGUUUUUAUCAUUUACCACAAAAAUGUAACCUGUAACACAAACCUAAUUAACAGAACCUAAAAAAUUAUUGACAUCAUACACAUUUGCUUUUGUCAUGCAUAUAUUCAUCACAAAGCCCCAAGAGAUUAUUAUCAGUAUCACAAUAUGGAUCAAAACUUUGGUCUUUGUUUCUAUAAUUUCUGUACAUUUGUCAUGUAUACUAUACACAUGGAAAAACUGUAUCAAGAUUGGCUCAUCCUCAAAAAAGGCGGAUGCCAAUCGUAGGGAGUAGAGUGACGUGGAGUAUUUAUGAGCUAAGAAUGUUUAAUAGAGAAACUCUGUUCUGGCCUAAUUUCCUGAAAAGAAUUCCUGCUCCAUCCUGAAGAUCUCCGAUGCUGCACUCUAACUCCUGCAAUUGUCCCUCCUCGCAAACAACAGCCUUCUUCUUGUAAAAUGCCUUGCAGACAAGAGACUGCUUUGGCAUUUCAAUUUUCUUCGACAAGAGAUGGAGUGUGGACUCCAGCAGAGAGAUGCAGAUCUCUCUUGCGUUGGUCAAUAGCAUGACCAUCUUGUCCGAUGCAGCCUUCUUGGCAGUCUUCUUGAAGUGUUUCCUGGCCUUCUUCAUCAAGCGAGUAAAAGACUGGAUCUUGGCUUGAGCAGCCACAUCAUCUCCUUUUCUUAGAGCCAGUUGCAGCUCUUGGAUGAUGACCACCACCUCGGCAAAGGUCUCUUGCAUGGUGCUACAAAGAUCUAAGAGCUCAACGGAGAAUCCCAUCUCUCCAUCAAACAUGUUCCUCUGCUGGGAGGAGCAAGCUUGGUGGCUUGGUAGGCAAAUAUUCUCUUCAAGGCCAUCAUAGAUGUUUGCAAGACUCCUGAGACCAUCACACAUCGUGCUGAUGGAAUUGGAGGAAGAGAUGCUUGAUUCUAGGCUCUCGAGCUCUUGCUCGACUUGGGUCUCACUGAUGUGAGGCCUAGAAGGCAAACUUGUCGAUCUUUGGUGGAAAGCCAUAUCUGAGCUUGAAGCUUUUCUCUGUAUUGUGGUUGAAGAGAGGAGGAGCAGAAAAGAACACUUCUUGGUUUGAUGUGUCUACUGCUCUGCUCAGGCCUAUUUAUACAUAAAUGUACAAGCGGUAGCAUUUGAUUGGUAUACAUUAAUAAUCAUGCCAUUACAUCGCCCAAAUGUUGUCUGCUAUGCCUUGAGAUCUACCAGAAGCAUAGAGAUCGCAGCGCUUAAGUCGUCUCAUGUUUAGUACAUCGUUUUGUGCUACUGUCCCUGGCAGCAGGAACCAGCAGCGUGGUUUAGUCUGAUGGUGGAUCUUUCUUGCAUGCUCAGGCCAUCAGUUUAUGGGUUGCUAACCAAGCAUUUAGCUGUGACAUACCUGUAUUUAAUAAGGUGCUUUCCUUGGUGGGAAAAUUUGCAAAUCACAGGUGAAAGCCUCGACCAUCGUCGGAGCUGGCAUGUUUAGGCCAUGCGAGCAAGAUCCACUACACAAGAUUCAUGUUAGGGGUUCAACAUAUUAUCAUCAGGCUGUCAUGUCUGAAUUGUUAUUAUCAGCAAACUCAUCUGCACGAGCGUGUAGUUUGGUUUCAUAUCAAGAUCAUGAGAUCGGCGAGUAUAGUGAAACGACAGAGAGAUGAGGAGCUGGUUGCUGAUUGCUGAUGAAAGGAACAGCUGGCUUAGCUUUGGAGGUUCCAGGGACAUGUUUAUCUGGUGAGCAUCUGCUUGAUAUGCAAUUUUUAGUUGCUUCUGCAACUGGUAUUCUAUUAAUUAUAGGGAGCAAUACCCCAGUAUAUUAUUACAAGGAGCUUGUGUUUGAGGCACAUUUCAUGUGAAUUACAUAACAACCUCAUAGUUCUCAAACAGAAAAAAAAAACAUAACAACCUCAUGCCUUCGGGUUAGCGGGCUAGCGUGUCUGAACUAUGUAUGUAAACCAAUGAACUGAACAUCAUCAGAGUUGAGUAAUUUUUCCAUUUUAUACAUAGAUCCUGUAAACACCGGAUGCCAACCACAGGGUAUUGGAUCUGAGUAUGUACCUUUAUCUAUAAGCUAUGAGUAUUCAGCAGAAAAACUCUAUUCUGGAUCAAUUUCUUGAACAGAACGUCAACUCCGCUCCCCGGAUCAACAAUGUCCGACUAAGGGCCCGUUCGGAAGCUCUCCAGCUUCCCAACGGGGCCAGCUUCUUCAAGGAGCAACGCUAGCCAGCUUCCCAGGGGAGCCAGGAGCGUUCGGCAGCAUAAGAGAGGAGAUGCGCUAGCUACUAUGGUCGGGCCCAUAUGGUUGGGCUUUGUUCAGAGAGGAAAACGGUUCGCGGCCGGCACUUCGGGAUGGCAGCCAGAUGUAAUUUGAAGGAACUUCUACUUCUAGAUUUAGCGAAGCAGCACUUCCCUAGCUCCACCGAUUUGCACUGCAUGCCUCCUCUGCUUCUGAAGCUGGCUCCAUGGAGCCGAGGCAUUCGGCCAGCUCCUGGCCCGUUUCUGGAGAAGCAUGGAGGUGGAGCACCUUCGAACGGGCCCUAAGUGCCUGCAAUUUCUACUCUUCAGCUACGGAAUGCGUUUAGAAAAGUGAACACCUGCCGAUGUUGGGAACGAGCGGUCCAAGGCAUGGGUGCGAGAACGCAGUAUUGUCGUUGCGGAUCAUCCAGCAGAGGUGAUGCAACAUUCAUCGAGGCGAAAGAUGACGUUUUCGUGUGAUGCACGCCUCCCCUGCGAUUUCGUGCCAGACUUCUGCACGGCGCUGCCGGAGCCCCGGCCCGGCCAUGUUCACCGGCGAGAGCAGCGGGUGGAGCUCCUCGACAACGAGGGGGUGGUGGUAGAUGCGUGUAGAUGGGUUGGCGGCGUGGAGUGGCGGGUGGGCCAAAGGGUGGCGUUCGCGUGCCCGUCGCGAGACUUGCGGUGGCUGACCGGUGGGGCGACAUUGGGGCGGUUUUCGAGGUGAGUAAUGGCGAGUUGGGGGAGGGGAGAGAGGAUAUUAGGCCGUCGUCUUGGCUCUCCACCACGCCCCCCCGCACAAAUCUCAUCCACGAAAACCACCACACUCUGCCGCUACGGGAGUUAGGGUUCCAUGAUGACGCACGAGCAGCAGAUGUGGGUGCUGUCCGCCGGCGACGAGGUGCUGAUGGGGAGAUUGAAGGAGAUAGACCGGUGGUUCCCAGCGGCGAAGGCCCUCAACGACGCGUCGGAGAUUGUGAGGGACAAGCUACGAGGCGAGGAGAUCCUCAGGUGCUUCCCCAACUACAAUCGCCAGCCGGCGAUGGGGGUGAUCCUAUGGGCGAUGCUCGAGGCGGAAUCACUGAUUCCGGAGCAGAGGGAGAAGUGGAAGGUGUUUCGCUCCCUCCGUUACUGCCUGAUCCAGCCAAGGGCACUGCCACCGGCGCCGCAGGCGCCGUCGCAGGUGGUGGUGAUGGGGAUCCCUGCUCCCGGAUCCAGAUGGCUUCUGAUCGAGAUCGAGGAGGAUGCAGAAGUGGUCGAAGAGCUGGAGGAGGAGGUGGUUGUGCCGCCACAGAGGAGGGCCAGGGUGUUUCCGACCCCGACCUCACUUCCCCGCCGCUCCCGGCGUUUCCAGAGGCGUUCACCUCGCCUCCUUGCUCUCUCCCGCCGCCAGUAGGGAGCUCGCCGGCUGGCAAUCGCUUUUGGUUGCUGGCCGGAGAAGGCUCUGAGGAGGAGGGGGAGGGGGAGGUCCUCGUCUAUGAUGCAGGUAUGUCAAAAUCUGCUAAAUAUUUAGUAUCUACUACUUCGAUUGAUGUACAUGAUACUAGAAUUAGAGGCAAAUUUGGGGGGAAAAGGGCUCUGUAAUGAAAACAGAAUGCAAAAAGGGCCUAGAUCUCGAAAAUAUGACGAGUGUUAUAGGAUUCCCUCUGUUUUUGAUAGUUUGGAUAAUGAAAAAGAGGGGUGGGAUGAGAGAAGAGACAGGUUGGGAGUUAAUUUUAAGCCUACUUGCAUAGAUGUUCAAAUUGUGCAAAAGCAUAUGAGAAAAAAUAAUGUGCAUCCGAUCACACCUUGGUUUGAGGGUGAGGAUUUGGAUUUUUGUGAAAUAGAAUUAAGAAAAGACCCCAAUUGCAGCCUAUUUGGCUCGAAAAGAGGGAAAGUUUGAACAAAUCAAUUCUGAGAAAAAGUUGAGACCUCUAAUCUUUUUUGGGGGCUCGGUUGGAAAGAUGUUAGUAUUGACAUGGAUGUGGGCCUGCCUUGGUGGAGGCCUUGUGGGCUGAAGUCCAGCCCAACCCAAAAAGAAUAUGGGGUACUAGCAGGUAUAAAAGAGGGAGUAGAGGUGGGAGGGAAGCAAUCCCACCACAUAGGGUUUCCUCCUCCCCUCCCCUCGCCGCCACAAGAAGAAGAGAUGUCAGGAAACUUUGGGAGAGGGUUUGGAGCUCCCAGAUUCAAUCGAGGAGGUGGGGUGGACACACAGGAGGAAGAUUCAACUAUGCAGACAGGGGGGAGGAUGGAAUGGAGGCAGACACGCCUUCCCAGGGAGAUCUGGUAGUUUUGGAAGAGGGGAUGGCCGAUUUGGUAUAGGAAAUGGAGUAGGCAGAGAUGAAGAAGAAGAGGACUCUGUGGCUGAGAGAAAUGGAGAAAAUUUGGUCUGGCAAGCCAAGUCAGGGAAGAAAGAUGUAGGGGAAGAGAUCAGAAGAAAAGCCAAUGGAGAUACAGGAGUUGCUGGGCUUGAAAAGGACAGAAAUAAGGAGCAACUGAUUUGGCCAGAUCAGAAUCAACAACAGGUACUGCUGACCUCUCUGCUCUCUCAAUUAGUACAGGGGAUGAAGAACAUUGAGAAAAAUCAGAUUGAGGAGAUGAUUGGGAAACAUUCUGGAAAUCAGCCUGGGAAAGACAGUCAAAGGAAAGAAGAAAGGGGUGGAGAAGGACAGCAAAGAGCUGACAAAGUGUUUGAACAGAUUUCUAGCAUGGAACUGAAGAAACAGGGAGGAAGAAACAGUUGGCAACAAAACUUUGAAGAUAACAAGAAAGGAUUUGAUAGGUUCAGUAAGCAGGCUUGUGGCAAGUGCAAGGAUCCCAGACAUACAACCAAGGAAUGCAGGGUGGGACACUGUUUAAUCUGUGGCAGGGAUAAUCACAUAACUGGAGAGUGCAAUCUACAGAAACAAAUAAAGCCAGUACCUAAGUAUGUGGGAUAUGCUGCUAAAGGCUUAGGAAUCCUUUUGGUGCAGAGCUACAAAGAUGUUCUGGUAGCUGAACACACUAAUCCCCUGGGUGUGGUGGUCAUAAUAGAAGGACAUAUUAAUGAGACUGAGCUUGUCAAAGCUUUGGGAGAAAUGUUUGAUCGGGUAUGGCAAUGGAGAGUGAAAGAGUUUGGAAAAAAAUGUCUACAUGAUGAGAUUUCCCAACAAGGCAAAACUAGUGGAGCUAGCAAAGUUCAAUGAUUUCAACUUGCUGGGGACAAGGGUGGUGAUCAAAGUCCAACCCUGGUCUCUGGAUCAUCAGGCUAUUGGAAAAAUGCACACAAUUUGGAUCAAGUUGACCAAGGUCCCUGAUUGUUUUAGACACUUCUUAGGAAUUUGUGAGGUUGCUGCUGCGGUAGGGCCUGUGCUUGAAAUUGAUAUGGACACUAUUAAUGAAGAGAAGAUCAGGGUCAAGUGUGGAAUUAGGGAUGUGGAAAAAAUCCCCUCUCAAGUGGAAAUCACUUCCCCUGAUCUUCUUAUGUUCAGAAUUGGCGCAGAAGCUGAGAAGGUGGUGGAAAUUGACUGGUACAAGGAAGAGAAAAGAAAGAAUGACAAUAACAAUAUCCUAGAAGUUGGAGAGGAAGAGAUGGAAAAUAGGAAGAGAACAAAGCUGGAAGAUAUAGAAUAUAAAGGGGUUUCUUUGGGGUGCUUAUCUCUGAAACAAAGUGAGGAGAUAGAUGGGAGAAUUGAGAAAAUGAGAUCACAAAUGGAAGAGAGCAUGAUGCAGUGGCAAAAUGAGAUGGUUACAGAAAGAAGGAAAUGGAAAAAGAGAGUGAAGUCAUGUUCAGUAAAAUAAAAAACCUGGAGGAAGACAAAGUCAGAAACAAUGCACUAUGGGCUAAAAGUGAGAAAAGGAUUAAGGAGCUGGAAAAUAACCAAUUGGACUUGCAAGAGUUGAGCAGAAAACAGCAAGAAGAAAUUCAGAAGCUAAUACAGGAGGCUGCUAACAGAGAGCAAUAUGAAAUGGAGUUAGCCAAUAUGGAUCUAGAGGGUUAUGAGAAAGAAAAUCAGCAGAAAAAGGAGGAAACUGAUUCUGGGAAAUACAAUGAGCCUACUGAUUAUAAUGCUAGCCAAGAGUCAAUAGGGACCUUGGGGGAAAAAUGGUUGAGUUACAUGGGAGUGAGGUCUUGGAGAAAGAUGGGGAGGAAAGAGAAGUGGAGAUAAAAAGAAGUCUCAGGAACAAAGGAAAAAAAGACCAAAAAAUUGAAGAUAUGGCAAAGAUUAGAGCUGAGGAAAGAGAUAACUAUGGUAAGAAUCCUGAUUUAGUGUUUGUUGAUGCUUCUUUAUUACAUCUUAGUUCUUUGGUGGGGAUUGACCUAGGAUGUUCUAUUGAAACGAUUGACAAAAACCUAUAGUUAAUCAAUAAGAUGGAGAUAGCCAGAAGAGAAAUAGACUUCUAAAAUAUAAAAAAAAGAAAACAGUGAUAGGGGAAGAGAGGAUUUUGUGGGAAAAUGAGAGAAAGAAAAGGAUAUCCCAGUAUAUAUAAAUACUGGAGAUAUAGAUGUGGAGGGAUUAUGCUCUGAUUUUGAACACUCUGAUGCUGAUAUUGAGGAACAACAAAUUAAGAAACUGAGAGGAAUGCUCUCAGGGAAGAAAAGUGGUAAAAAAAGGCUCACCAGCAUUAGACUAUGUGAAGCAAACUGUUGGGAUUGGGGUCUUACAAAGAAGAAAAAAAAGGAAGAAAGACUAAGUAGUUUCUUAUUAGUAUAUAAAAACUAAAUAUAAUAAAAUGAGAGGGGUUUUUUGGAAUGUCAGAGGUAUUGGACAAGACCACAAAAAGAGAUAUAUCAGAGAAAUGAGAAUAGAUCAGAAGCUGGACUUUAUUGGGAUCUUUGAGACCAUAAAGCAAGACUUCACUAAAAAUGAGCUGCACAAUUUGUGUGGAGGGAAAAAUUACCAAUGGUACUGGAACCCUCCUAGAGGGAUGUCUCGAGGGAUUUUAGUUGGGAUUAACAAAGAUAUGUUUGAUGUUGAGUCUAUUGAAAAAGGACAAUAUUUUUUGAGAGUGCUAGUUUUUGAUAAAAAUAUUAAAAUGCACUGGAAUUUGGUGACUGUGUAUGGAGAUGCGCAGAAGGAAGGAAAAGCUAGCUUUCUUGCUGAGCUUGAAAGAUUAUAUCAUGACAACCCUCUGCCUUGCUUGGUGGGGGGGGGGGGAUUUUAACAUCAUUAGAAAUGGGAAAGAAAAAAACAAACCUAUGCUAAAUGAUCAGUGGCCCUUUAUGUUUAAUGCUAUCAUUGAACAAGCAGGGUUGAGAGAGUUGCCUUUGAAUGGGAGGAAAUACACCUGGGCCAAUAACCAGGAAGAUCCUACUUUUGAGAAGCUAGACAGGGUUCUAAUGUGCCCAGCUUGGGAGGAGAAAUAUCCACUAACCAUACUACAAAGAGUUGCUAGAGAAAUUUUUGAUCACACCCCUUUGUUCUUAGAUACAGGGGAGACAUACAAACAUAAAUAUACAUUCAGAUAUGAGCAUGCUUGGAUUUUGAGAGAGGGGUUCAAAGAGUUGGUACAUAAAACUUGGAAUGAAAGAUAUAUAGGAGAUAUCUUGGAAAGAUGGCAACUAAGAUUGAGAAAACAGAGAAAGAAAGCCAAAGGCUGGAAUAAGAACAUGGAUGCUUGGUAUAAGAAAAUCAAAAUAGAAAUUAUUAGGGAGCUAGAUGAACUAGAUAAGAGAGCUGAGACAAUGGGAUUAACUACUAUGGACAGAACUAAACAGAAAGAGCUUAGAGCUCAAUUCAAAAGAGUGAUGCUACAAGAGGAGAUGAAAUGGUUGCAGAGAUAUAAAGAUACAGAAAUUAAAGAUGGGGAUGGGAACACUAUAUACUACCACGCUAAGGUGAAUGGGAGAAGGAGGAAAAAUAGAAUUGUCUCUCUGGAACAGGAUGAAGGGACUAUAGAAGGAGAUGACAUACUAAUGGAGUAUAUAACUAAAUUUUACAAAGAAUUAUUUGGACACCCUAAAGAGUCUAAUAUCUCUCUGAGGGAGAUGGAAAUGACCAAAAUUAGUACACAAGAUAAAGAGGAGCUAUUAGCCCCUUUCUCUCUAACUGAAAUUCAUCAGGUAGUUUUUGGGAUGAAAAGAAAUAAAAUUCCAGGCCCUGAUGGGUUUCCUGCUGACUUUUAUCAAGAUUUCUAGGAGUUAGUUAUGUGGGAUCUGAAAGCCUUGGUUGAUAGCUUUGCAAGGGGGAAAUUAAUAUUGUCAGACUCAAUUAUGGUAUCAUUACUUUGGUCCCUAAAACCAGUGAUGCUAAACAAAUUCAAAAAUUUAGACCCAUUUGUCUGUUAAAUGUUAGCUUUAAGAUCAUCACUAAAGUGUUGAUGAAUAGGUUGGCCAGGUGUGUGGCUCCUGUGAUCUCUAGAACCCAGACUGCCUUUAUUAAGGGUAGAUAUAUAAUGGAAGGGGUGGUUAUACUACAUGAAGCUUUAAACAAUUUCCACAAAAAUAAAGAAGAUGCUUUGAUUUUCAAAGUAGAUUUUGAGAAGGCAUAUGAUAAAAUCAAAUGGCCCUUUGUGAUUCAAAUGUUGAAUUUGAAGGGAUUUCCAGAUAAAUGGUAUGAUUGGGUAAUGGGGACCAUGAGGGGGGGACAUGUUGGAGUAAGAGUGAAUGAUGAAAUUGGUCCAUAUUUUGAAACUUUUAAAGAUCUGAGACAAGGAGAUGCUAUGUCACCUCUACUUUUUGAUUUGGCUGCUGAUGCCUUGGCCAUUCUAAUGACUAAUGCUCUGAAAUAUGAUAUAGUUAAAGGGGUAUUGAAAAAAGGAGAGGAUAAAGGGAUAAAUAUGUUACAAUAUGUUGAUGACACCAUCUUCCUGAUCAAAGAUGAGGUGGAAAGUGUGAAAAAACUCAAAUUCAUAGGAGCCUUUGAACAAAUGUCUCGGCUCAAAAUUAAUUUUCAUAAAAGUGAAUUGCUGUUGUAUGGCAAGGCCAAAGAGAAACAAAUGAUAUAUCAAGAAAUUCUGACAUGUAAAAUGGGGGAACUACCUAUUAGAUACCUGGGAAUGCCUGUGUCAGAAACUAGAAUUAGAAACAUACAUUGGGAUUGUGUGACUGAUAAAAUUGAAAAGAGAUGUGGGUGCUGGCAAGGGAAACUGUUGGGUUCCAUUGCUGGCAGAAUUACUCUGGUGUAGGCAUGCCUGACUAAUAUCCUUAUUCAUGAUGUCCUUCUAUGUUGUUCCCAAAGGGAUCAUCAAAAAAGCAGAUUUCUUCAGGGCUAGGUUGGUUUGGCAGGAAGAUGAUAAUAUUAAAAAAUAUCACCUAAUAAAAUGGGAAGAAUGUUGUCUGCCUAAAGAGGUAGGUGGUUUAGGGAUACUCAAUUUGGAAGUAAUGAAUAUUGCGCUGCUUGCUAAGUGGUUCUGAAAAAUGGAGACGGAAGAAGGUCUCCGGCAGGAUGCACUGGAUGCAAAGUACAAAAAAGGUGGCUGUCUGGCAUCAGUUAGUAAGAAACCUGGAGAUUCCCAAUUCUGGGCUAAUUUGUUAAAGAUCAAAGAGAUCUUCUAUAAAAUUUUUAAAAAAGAAGUGGGGAAUGGGAAGAACACUAGGUUCUGGGAAGACACCUGGGUAGAUGAUAAACCUUUGAGAGAUGCCUAUCCUAGGUUAUAUGACAUAUGUUUUGACCACAAUAUAACUUUGGAUGAGGCCAUUCAAAAAGGGUGGCAUGGGUUCAAAUUCAGAAGAACCCUAUAUGGGGAGACUCUUGGGUUAUGGAAUUGCCUUAAAAAGAUGUGAAGAAAUACCUUUGCAAGAAGGGACAGAUAAAGUAUUAUGGACCCUCACUGCUGACCAUAAGUUUUCUAUGGGAUCCCUCUAUAGGAAAAUGAUUACCGUAGGGGUGAAAUUCCCACAAAAAUACUUAUGGAAAAUUAAGGUACCUGUAAAGCUAAAAGUUUUCUUAUGGUUAGUUAACAAAAAAAGCAUCCUGACUAGGGAUGUACUAUUAAAAAAAGAUGGAAAGGAGGGAAGGAGUGUGUUCUUUGUGGGAAAGAUGAAUCAAUUGAUCACCUUUUAUUUUCUUGCUCUGCAGCCUCGCUGUUGUGGAGUUUGGUUAGAUGUGUGUGUGGUUUAAAAACCGUUCCACUAAAUGUGAAAGAUUGUUUUGGAGAUUGGAUCAGAAAAUUCAAGAAAGAGGAUAAGAAAAUGGUUAUGGUUGGGGUUUCAGCCCUGUUUUGGGAAAUUUGGAAAAAUAGAAAUGCGAUUAUAUUUGAAAAGAAAAAGAUAAACGAUCCUUUCUAUAUUAUCAAAAUGAUGUGCAUAUGGUUAAUUGACUGGUCUAUUCUGCAGAUAAAGGAGCCGUCAAAAAAAUGCUGGAGCUGGGAGCAAGAGUGCUAGAACGGGCAGCAAGUGAGGUGUUCACAGCCAGGCAGGGGGUGGAGGAUCAACGUCGCUAGACUGGAAUGAAGAAACUCUUGCUGUGGUGACCCUGGCGUUGCUGUUAGUUACAGGUGUUUUGACUCAAGUGCCCGCAAUUGCUACUCUUCAGCUACGGAAUGCGUUGAGAAAAAUGAACACCCACCAAUGUUUCGGACAACAAGUUGCUUUGACAAGAGCCACUGUGUAGAUUUGAAGCAACAAGACUGUAAUUUUCUUUGCUGCUGCAAGUAGCCUGAUCACCCUCCUCAGUAACAGGUGUAACCGUCCUGAUCUACCUGAAAUGUUUAUGUGCUUUCUUCGCUGAUUGGGUGUACCGUGUAGGUCUGAAUAUAUUGACGUGAAAGCUGCACUGUCUCCUCUUUUUCAUAACCAAGUGCAGCUCUUGGAUGGUGUCUACCCCAGUAAGCACAUUUUGCUCCCCUCAUAUAUAGUGCAGAAGUAGAAGCACUUACACACUUGAGCCUACCGACAACCGAAAUCCUGUCAGUCAAAGUCCUGAGAGUUUGUCACCCAUCUUCAAGGCAAGUUUAUGCCACUCUGUUGUUAUCUUAUCGUUUCAUACAUCUACAAAUGAUUAUACGGGCCUGUCGAAUGUGUCUUAAUCAUUGGAGACAAAACUCACACACGAGGAAAAAAAUUUGAGUUGGAUCAUGCAUGUGCAUCGGCGUUACAUGAUGACUAGCCCUCUUCAUGCAGUCAUGCUUUGCCGCUGGCAUGCUACAGCCGCGUCUUAAUUGUUAAGUGGCAAAGUUAUCUGCACCCCCAGGGUGGUUGGUGCUUGCUGGUGUAAGGAGUCAUUGACUUCAUCAGCAUGUUGUUCCAGGUUUUGCCCUCAGGUUCUGCUAACAGCCUUUGUCCUUUGGCACUCCAACCUUACAACCGAGCUCAUAUCAGUCAUCUCCCUCCUUUCAUCAGAGCUCUGUCCCUAGUGAUCCUUUUCCAAGGUCCACGAAUGUAUCAACUCAAUAAGACAAGCCAUCUCAGAAAUCUAUAAUGCUCAAUCCAAUGUUUUUCCCAUUAAAUAUCAAAUAAAAUUAUGCUGAAGAUACCAUCAUACUAACUUUUUCAUCUGCGAAUAUGGAUUGUUCUUGUUAUUAAGAACAUUUACAUUUCUUUUUUCCACUUGACCUACCCAUCAUAAUUAGUUUUAUGAUUUUAUCAGAAAUGCAAGCUAUAUUAUCUGACUAAAUGUGUAGAUGCAUACCUAAAUAUUAAUUGAGCAUAUGAAGCCAGCAUUUGCAACUAUGAAGUGAAUCUGGUUAGUUGAUUUAUGUGCAAGUAGAAGCACCAGCCAUGUGGCUUCCACCUGGCUUGUCCCAUGCAUGAUAAGUGAGAUCCACAAAAUAAGACUAAUCAUGAAUCUUUUUUUUGCGGGAGCUAAUCAUGAAUCUUAUGGUAGGUGUAAUGCAACCGAUAACCUACCAGUUUUAUGGUAGGUCUAACAUCAUUGUUGCUAUCAUUACCACAAAAAAGUAACAUGUAACACAAACCUAAUUAACAGAACCUAACGAAUACAUGAUGGAUUGAAAUCAUACACACAUUUCCUUUUGUCAUGCCAAUAUUCAUCACAAAGCCCCAAGAGAAUAUUAUCAAUAUCGCAAAAUCUGAGAUGGAUCAAAACUUUGGUCUUUGUUUCUAUAAUUUCUAUACAUUUGAACUGUAUACUAUACACAUGGGAAUGUAUACUAUACACAUGGGAAAACUGUAUCAAGAUCGGCUCAUCCUCAAAAAGGCGGAUGCCAAUCGCAGGGAGUAGAGUGAUGUGGAGUAUUUAUGAGCUAAGAAUGUUUAAUAGAGAAACUCUGUUCUGGACUAAUUUCCUGAACAGAAUUCCUGCUCCAUCCUGAAGAUCUCCGAUGCUGCACUCUAACUCCUGCAAUUGUCCCUCCUCGCAAACAACGGCCUUCUUCUUGUAAAAUGCCUUGCAGACAAGAGACUGCUUUGGCAUUUCAAUUUUCUUCGACAAGAGAUGGAGUGUGGACUCCAGCAGAGAGAUGCAGAUCUCUCUUGCGUUGGUCAAUAGCAUGGCCAGCUUGUCCGAUGCAGCCUUCUUGGCAGUCUUCUUGAAGUGUUUCCUGGCCUUCUUCAUCAAGCGAGUAAAAGACUGGAUCUUGGCUUGAGCAGCCGCAUCAUCUCCUUUUCUUAGAGCCAGUUGCAGCUCUUGGAUGAUGACCACCAUCUCGGUGAAGGUCUCUUGCAUGGUGCUGCAGAGAUCUAAGAGCUCAACGGAGCAUCCCAUCUCUCCAUCCACCAUGUUCCUCUGCUGGGAGGAGCAAACUUGGUGGCUUGAUAGACAAAUAAUCUCUUCAAGACCAUCAUAGAUGUUUGCAAGACUCCUGAGACCAUCGCACAUCGUGCUGAUGGAACUGGAGGAAGAGAUGCUUGCUUCUAGGCUCUGGAGUUCUUGCUCAACUUGGGUCUCACUGAUGUGAGGCCUAGAAGGCAAACUUGUCGAUCUUUGGUGGAAAGCCAUAUCUGAGCUUGAAGCUUUUCUCUGUAUUGUGGUUGAAGAGAGGAGGAGCAGAAAAGAACACUUCUGGUUUGAUGUGUCUACUGCUCUUCUCAGGCCUAUUUAUACAUAAAUGUACAAGCAGUAGCAUAUGAUUGGUAGACAUGAAGAAUCACACCAUUACAUCUCCCAGAUGCUGCCUGCUAUGCCUUGAGAUCUGUGAGGAGCAUAGAGAUCGCAACACUAAAGUCGUCUCAUGUUUAGUACAUUGUUUUAUGCUACUGUCCACACAAUUGGCAGCAAGAACCAGCACCGCAGUUUAGUCUGAUGGUGGAUCUUUCUUGCAUGCUCAGGCCAUUAUUUUAUGGGUUGCUAACCUAGCAUUUAGCUGUGACAUACCUUGGUGGGCACAUUUGCAAAUCACAGGUCAAAGCCUCGAGGUCGGAGGUGGCAUGUUUAGGCCAUGGGAGCAAGAUCCACUGCACGAGAUCCAUGUUAGGGGUUCAACAUAUUAUCAUCAGGCUGUCAUGUCUGAAUUAUUAGCAGCAAACUCAUCUGCACAAGCGUGUAGUUUGGUUUCAGAUGAAGAUCAUGAGAUCGAUGAUUAUAGUGAAACGAUGAGAGAUAAGGAGCUGGUUGCUGAUUGCUGAUGAAAGGAACAGCUGGCUUAGCUUUGGAGGUUUAUCUGGUGGCACCUGCUUGAUAUGCAAAUUUUAGUUGCUUCUGCAACUGAUAUUCUAUUAAUUAUAGGGAGCGAUACUCCAGUAUAUUAUUACAAGGAGCAUGUGUUUGAGGCACAUUUCAUGUGAAUUCCAUAACAACCUCAUAGUUCUGAAAAAAGAAGAAGCAUAACAACCUCAUGCCUUCGGGUUAGCGGGCUAGCGUGUCUGAACUAUGUAUGUAAACCAACGAACUGAACAUCAUCAGAGUUGAGUAAUUUUUCCAUUUUAUACAUAGAUCCUGCAAACGCCGGAUGCCAACCACAGGGUAUUGGAUCUGAGUAUGUACCUUUAUCUAUAAGCUAUGAGUAUUCAGCAGAAAAACUCUGUUCUGGAUCAAUUUCUUGAACAGAACGUCAACUCCGCUCCCCGGAUUAACAAUGUCCGACUCAAGUGCCCGCAAUUGCUACUCUUCAGCUAUGGAAUGCGUUGAGAAAAACGAACACCCGCCAAUCUUUCGGACGACAAGUUGCUUUGACAAGAGCCACUGUGUAGAAUUGAAGCAACAAGACUGUAAUUUUCUUCGCUGUUGCAAGUAGCCUGAUCACCCUUCGGUCCUCAGUAACAGGUGUAACCGUCUUCCCGAUCUACCUGAACUGUUUUUGUGCUUUCUUUACUAAUUGGGUGUACCGUGUAUGACUGAAUAUUGACCUCAAAGCUUCAGUGUCUCCUCUUUUCAGAACCAAGCGCAGUUCUUGGACGGUGUCUACCCCAGUACGCACAUUUUGCUACCCUCAUAUAUAGUGCAGAAGUAGAAGCACUUACACACCUUGCUACCUACAGACAACUGGAAUCCUGUUAGUCUAUGUCCUGAGAGUUUGUCACCCAUCUUCAAGGCAAGUUUAUGCUGCUCUGCUGUUAUCUUAUCGUUUCAUACAUCUAUGAAUGGGUAUAUGGGCCUGUCGAACGCGUCUUGAUCAUUGGAGACAAACUCACACACAAGGAACAAUUUUCGUGUUGGAUCCAGAUAGCUUGAUCAUGCAUGCGUGUGCAUCAGCGUUACAUGAUGACUGUCCUCUCCUUGCUUUGCCGCUGGCAUAUGCUACAGCGUGUUUCAUUGUUAGUGGCAAACCCAUCUGCACCCCCAGGGUGGUUGGUGGUGUAAGGAGUCAUUGACUUCAUCAGCAUGUUGUUCCAGGCUGUGCUAUCUGGUUCUGCUAACAUCCUUUGUGGCGCUCCUAUACAAUGUAAGAAGGGGUAAGAAAGAGAUCAAAAUAUAUUACCGAAGUGUAUCUACCAUGCUUUGAUGAUGCAAAAUAUUUCCCUUUUACAAGAGAUAUUUUUGGUGUUAACAUUAAGACAUGCCAUCUCAGAAAUCUAUAAUGCUCAAUCCAGUAUUUAUCUCCUAGUAUUAAAUACAAAAUAAAAUUAUGUUGAAGAUACCAUCAUACUCAUUUUUUUCAUUUGCGAAUAUGGAUUAUUGUUUGUUACUAAGAACAUUUAGAUUUGAUUUUUCCACUUGAUCUACCCAUCAUCAAUAGUUUUAUGAUUUUAUCAGAAAUGCAAGCUUUAUCAUCUGAAUAAAUGUGUAGAUAUAUACCUAAAUAUUAAUUGAGCAUAUGAAGCCAGCAUUUGCAACUAUGAAGUGAAUCUGGCUAGUUGAUUUAUGUGCAAGUACAACCAUCAACCAUGUGGCUUCCACCUGGCGUGUCCCAUGCAUGAUAAGUGAGAUCCACAAAAUAAGGCUAAUCAUGAAUCUUAUGGUAGGUCUAAUGCAACCAAUAACCUACUAGUUUUAUGGUAGGUCUAAUAUCAUUGUUGUUAUCAUUUACCACAAAAUUGUAACUUGUAACCAAAACCCAAUUAACAGAACCUAACAGAUACAUGAUGGAUUAACAUCAUACACAUUGCUACUCCCUCCGUUCCAAAAUAGAUGACUCAAUUUUGUACUAACUUUAGGGAGUAUUUGUCAUGCAUAUAUUCAUCACAAAGCCCCAAGAGAUUAUUAUCAGUAUCGCAAAAUCUGAUAUGGAUCAAAACUUUAGUCUUUGUUUCUAUAAUUUCUGUAUGUAUACUAUACACAUGGGAAAACUGUAUCAAGAUCGGCUCAUCCUCAAAAAGGCGGAUGCCAAUCGCCGGGAGUAGAGUGAUGUGGAGUAUUUAUGAGCUAAGCAUGUUUAAAAGAGAAACUCUGUUCUGGACUAAUUUCCAGAACAGAAUUCCUGCUCCAUUCUAAAGAUCUCCAAUGCUGCACUCUAACUCCUUCAAUUGCUCCUCGCAAACAACGGCCUUCUUCUUGUAAAAUGCCUUGCAGACAAGAGACUGCUUCGGCAUUUCAAUUUGCUUCGACAAGAGAUGGAGUGUGGACUCCAGCAGAGAGAUGCAGAUCUCUCUUGCGUUGGUCAAUAGCAUGACCAUCUUGUUGGAUGCAGCCUUCUUGGCAGUCUUCUUGAAAUGUUUCCUGGCCUUCUUCGCCAAGCGAGCAAAAGACUGGAUCUUGGCUUGAGCAGCUGCAUCAUCUCCUUUUCUUAGAGCCACUUGCAGCUCUUGGAUGAUGACCACCAUCUCGGCGAAGAUCUCUUGCAUGGCGCUGCAGAGAUCUAGUAGCUCGAGAGAAACUUCCAUUUCUCCAUCCAACAUGUUCCUCUGCUGGGAGGAGAAAACUUGGUGGCUUGGUAGGCAAAUAAUCUCUUCAAGACCAUCGUAGAUGUUUGCAAGACUCCUGAGACCAUCGCACAUCGUGCUGAUGGAAUUGGAGGAAGAGAUGCUUGCUUCUAGGCCGUGGAGCUCUUGCUCGACUUGGGUCUCACUGACGUGAGGCCUAGAAGGCAAACUUAUCGAUCUUUCGUGGAAAGACAUAUCUGAGCUUGAAGCUUUUCUCUAUAUAUAUUGUGGUUGAUGAAGAGUUGAAGAAAAGAACACUUCUUGGUUUGAUGUCUCUACUGCUCUGCUGAGGCCUAUUUAUACAGAAAUGAACAAGCAGCAGCAUUUGAUUGGUAGACAUGAAGAAUCAUGCAAUUACAUCUCCGAGAUGCUGUCUGCUAUGCCUUGAGAUUUUUUAAGCACAAGCAUAGAGAUUGGAACCCUAAAGUCGUCUCAUGUUUAGUACAUUGAUUUAUGUGUCCACUGUCCCUAAGAUAGGCCAUCACAUUAUUAUGUUCCAGCAAUUGGCAACAAGAACCAGCAGUCCAGUUUAGUCUGAUGGUGGAUCUUGGCAUAAUUGCUUACCAAAGCCAUUAUUUAAUGGAUUGCUAACCUAGCAUUUUUUGCUGCGGAGUGCCUGUAUUUAAUCAGGUGUUUGCUUUGGUGGGCACCCUUGCGAAUAACAAGUUAAAGCUUCGAUGAUCGGAGCUGGCAUGUUUAGGCCAUGGAAACAAGAUCCAUGUUAGUGGUUCAGCGUGUUACCCACAAUUUCAUAUCUGGCAAGAAACGAGUUUUUGUUGUGUGCUUGUGUGCCGUGUCCACCCUAUUUUUUCUGAUGUUUUCGUACAACCUUAUUUUUGGUGAAGUUUGGAAUAAACAUAUAAAGCAUUGGUUGUUCUUUGUGUUCUAGGAAUUAAUAUACGGAAAAGAACAAAGAAUUUGCACACUGGCAAGUUUGGAUUAGGUCUUGCUCAGAUUAUUGUUAAUUCUGUAGAGUAAAUGUUUUUUGUUAUUAUUUUGCCUUACAUGCUUAGAUGAUAUAGAUGUCGACAAUGUUAAAAUUUGAGCACAAAUUUGGACUUUGUUGUAUGAAACCAGAAAUAUAAUUAAUUGUAGUGCCAGACUGCACAACCAUGUGGUGGUGGCACUGGAGAAUCUGAAUAAUAAAACUGAUUGAUUCUGCAAACUAAUACAAGUAGGGACCGUGUGACUUUGAUCUGGCUUGUUUCAUGCAUAAGGGACAAGAUCCACUAACCAAGGUUAUCAAAAUUAAGUAUACUGGGAUCACAAGCACAUCUUCAAGUAUGAAAUGGUCAAAUGGAUCAAAACUUUUGUUUCUCUUGCUAUAGUAUCAUGUGCAUUUCUAUUGUAUAGUGUAUAUAUACAUAGGGGAAAAUUGUAUGAAGAUCAGCUAUUCCUUAAAAGGCGGAUGCCAAUCGAAGGGUGUCAAGAGUGUCCUGGAAGUAUCUAUGAGCUAAGGAUGUUGAGUAGAGAAACUCUGCUCUGGACAAAUUUCCUGAACAGAUGUCCUGCUCCGCUCUCAAGAUCUCCGAUACUGCACUCUAACCCCAACAAUUGCUCCUCCUUGCAAACAACUGACUUCUUUUUGUGAAAUGCCUUGGAAACAAGAGACUGUUUAGGCAUUUUAAUUUGCUUCGACAAGAGAUGGAGUGUGGACUCCAGCAGAGAGACAGAGAUCUCUCUGGCCUUGGCCAAGAGCAUGACCGUCCCGCAAUCUGCCGAAAUCUACUUCGUGGUCUUCUUGAAAUGAUUCUUGGCCUUCUUCGCCAAGUGGGUGUAAGAUUGGAUACUGGCUUGAGCAGCCGCAUCAUCCCCUUUCCUUAGAGACAGUUGCAGCUCUUGGAUGAUGGCCUUCAUCUCGGCGAAGAUCUCUUGCAUGGUGCCACAUAGAUCUAGCAGCUCGAGAGAACCGUCCAUUUCUUCAUCCAACACCGUCCUCUGCUGGUAGGCACAGACUUGGCUGCUUGGAAGGCAGAUGAUCUCUUCGACGCCAUUAUAGAUGUCUCCAAGCCUCCUCAGACCCUCGCACAUCAUGCCGAUGGUCGUGGAGGAACAGAUGCUUGCCUCUAGGCUCAACAUCUGUUCUUCAAUCUCGGUCUCGGUGGGGUGAGGCCUAGAAGGCAAACUUAUCGAUAUUAGGUGGAAAGCCAUGUCUGAUCUUGAAGCUUUUCUCUAUUUUGUGGUCGAGGAGAGGAGCAGAAAAGAAGAGCUUAUAGCUUGAUGUUUCUACCAUUCUGCUGACGCCUAUUUAUACAGAAGGUAUGUUUACAGCUGUAUUGUAGCAUCUGAGUGGUAGAUCUCCCAGAUGCUGUCUGCUGUGCCUUGAGAUCUGCCAGAAGCAUAGAGAUCAAAACACUAAAGUCGUCUCAUGUCUGCUACAUUUUUUUAUUGUGUCUGGUGUCCUCGAGAAGAACCAUCACAUUGUCAUGUUCCACUUAUUGGCAGCAAUGACAAAUUAAGAGGGGCAUAGUUUGGUGGUGGAUCUUGACAUAAUUGCACGCUGAAGCUAUUAUCUAGUGGAAUGCUGCUGGCUACUGGCAUGUUCUUCAUUUAAUCGGCUAUUUUUUCUUUUGAUGGAUACUCGUGAUAACACGGCCGGUGCCUCAUAAUUUGGAGCUGGCAUUUUCAUGUAUCGGAAAACAAGAUCCAAUGCGCCUUUUAUUUUGUUCAACAUUGUGUCCCCAUCUUUUCAGUUAUAUCGUAUCAAAUAAUGACAUAAACGAGGUUUUGAAUUGUGCCCCUGCUCACAAAUCUCUUUUCAAUGUUUUUCAUGCGAUGCUAGGUUAGACUAAUUGAUUCUCAAACAUCAUUGUGGGUGAAGUUUGCCAUCCUAAUAGAUUGUUUUCCUUUUUCAGGUUAUUUCUGUUGCUAGCCAAAUUGUUCAGUUCUACGAUUGAGAGGUUGAAGCUUUCUGCCAGUAUACCAUGUCUCGUAAUAAUUUGUAAUGUUGGCACAAACAUAGUUACAUAAUAACUUGUUGAGCUCUGUAAUCGUUUUCUUUCCUGCCCGUUUGGGUGUGUGUACUGUGUCUCUUCUACCUUCUCAAUGGAAUGAAACACCAGGCUUUUGCGUUUUCUGAACCAAAAAAAAUGGUAGAAUAUGUUCCAUAUUUUGAAGUUAGUGUUUUACACAAUCGGGUCAUUAGUACUCCCUCCGUUCCGAUUUACUCGUCGUGGUUUUAGUUCAAAUUUGAACUAAAACCACGAUGAGUAAAUCUGAACGGAGGGAGUAUGAUGCAGUACAAUCUAGAACACACUUUAAAAUUCUUCACCAUGUAAAGAAAUGGAGUAAUCUCCAAUGGGUUAGCUUGGGAGGCCAAAUUUCUACAAUAUUACAUUGUUUUACAGUCUGUUUAAAGGAUGGUCAUUCCUUUCUUCUCUUCUCUUCUGUUUAAAGGAUGGUCAUAAGCACCUGAAAGAGGAUCAAUCGCCCCAACCCCCCGACACCCCGAGCCGCUCCCGCGAGCGUCCUCGGGGGAAACCCUAGCGCGCCGCCCCUCGUCCUCCCUCAUCGACCUCUCCCCCUGCCGCCACCGCACAGCGCCGCCGGGCAAAGUCCGGCCGGCAUUGGUGGCGGCGGGGAUCUUGCCCCUCUCCUCGCGGUUGGCAUCCGGCGCAAGACGGUGCUGGGCUGUGCGGGGCCCGGCGGCGCGGCGGCAGGCGUGCUGGGUGGCGGUGGUGCAGCGGCGGCUUGGGGCCCCUUCGACGCGCGGCGGUUGCGGAUUCUCUAGCGGUGACGCGCGCGCCGGCCCUGUCCAGAUCUGACAGAUUUGGCUCCGGUGGCCUGAUGCGCGGCGGGGGCAGCGUGCUGCUUGGGUCACGGGCGUCUUGCUCUGCCAUGGCCGCGUCUCGCGGAGCUGGAGGCGUGGCGGCGGAAAUGGUUGGUGCGUGUCCAGGCGGGCGGGUGGCCGCAGGCUCGCAUGCUCGACCCUGUGAUGGCGCGGGCCAUGGACGGCUUGGGCCACGUGCGGCCCCCCUGCAGUGGUAGGUGGUGGCGGUGGCACGGUGGUGGUGGUGGUUCGCGCUGGUGGUGGCGCUGGCGGCGGUGUGGGCUUCGUCCGGCGGCCGUUGGCGGCGAGGGUGGUGGCGCUGGCUCGGGGCUGCCCCUCAGGGUCCCGGCAUGGAUGUGGGCUGCCACGGCGUGGUGGUGGCCCAUCGUGGGUGGUCUGGGUUGUUUCACGGCAGCGGCUGGACUUCUUCGGCGUCUGCCUGUCGGUGAGCACCCUUGACGACCUUUGAUUCAUCUCCCCGUCGUUCGGGCGCUACCUUUAUCGGAGGGUUGGCCCUCUCCUAGUGGCGGCCCAUCGCUCGUCUCGUGCCCGGCAGCAGGACCGAGCUCGUCUCGCGCCCGGCAGCAGGACCGAGCUCAUCUCGCGCCCGGCAGCAGGAUCUGACUCGUCUCACGCUCGGCAGCAGGACCGAGAUCGUCUCGUGCCCGGCGGCAGGACAAGUCGAUGGUGGCCAGUUUUGGCCGACCUAUUGGGUCUUGUCACUGGGACAGCCCAGGGGUGCGAAAGGCGGUUCGUUUCCACUCGUCUCUUUGGUUGGGGUAGCGGCGGGUGGCGGGUGAGGUGGCAUUAAGGUCCUGGAUGCCGAGGCGGCGGCCCUGGUGGUGGUGUUGCGGUGAUCUUGGGCAAAGCCCGUGGCUUGGUGCUGCCUGGUGGCCAUGGCCGUGUGGGCGGCGUGGUAGCCAGGGUGUGAUGUUCGGUGGCGGUGAAUAUUGACCGCGGUGAAAACCUGUUCUAUCUUUGGACGGACCGGCGGCGGCGAAACUCGUUCCCUUCUUGAAGGCGUCGUCGCGGCUCUCACUGUCCGUCAUGUUGCUCCAGGGGAAACUCUGAUCUUUGGGUCAGGCGGUGGCGGUGCUUCGGUGUCGUAACCUUCCUGUAGGCACCGCCUUGGAGCCCACGGUUCGUCGUAUGUAGCUUUCUCUCUUUGCGAUGGCGUGUUCACGGUUGAGGCCCCCGGUUGCUCAUGUAGUGCUAGGGGUGGUGUUGCUGCGCUCAGGGCCUAUGUAUCAUGUCUUGGGUGUGUGCGUGUUCUGGUGGCGUGCGUUGCACCGGGUUGUUGAUGAUCUUUGCUUUAUAUAUAAAGCGGGCCGAAAGCCUUUUUGGGUAAAGGAUGGUCAUUACUCGGCUGAAAUGGCGGCAGUUAGAAGAUUGGAGUAUUUGUUACAUUAUGUGUCUGGCGAAUACUCCCAGCAAGAAAUUAGGGCAUUUGCAAUUGCAUAUUAACUGCAGUCUAGGGGUGCGCGAGAAAGUGAAUUAGUGAUGUAUAUGUAGCAUAUAUACUGACAGAAUGUAAAAUGAAACCAAAUAAAUGGAAGAUCUCAUAGUAGCGAAAUCAACAUGUUUCUUAGACAAAAAAAUCAUGCUAUUUCGUAAGUGGAAUCGUACUUUUGUUGCACUACAAGCACCCAGGAUUGUUUUUAGUCAUAAAGAGUGGGUGUGUAGUGUUGGGAGGCGAUGCCGGACCAAUCCCAACACGGAAGUAUCAAAACAACUUAUAUAAACUAAAAUCUCAAAUAUCCUUCACGUGCGCGCAUGGGGUGUGGCGGAGUAUUCUGAAAGGAGACAGAACUCAGAUUCGUACCUGGUCUCGUUCAUGGGUGGCCGACAGUCAAGUAGUCAUGCCAGUGCCAAUCUCCCUACUGAAGUUGGCAAGUUGCCGAGCUCAUGAACAGUGACUGAAACAUGGAGCGAUUCGCCAAACUUUUGCAGCAGAGGAUGUUCCAGUGGUCCUUAUCAUGCCGAUAUGUGAGCAGGGUGAAGAUUCGGUCCGGGGAACUACUUGGCACACAGAACUUGAGCGCAUAAUGUAUCCUGCACCUUGAUGAUUUGCCAGCCUUGUGACAUGAAGUUUCACCCUGUGACUGGAAGCGAAUCAGGAUGGGACCAAGUAUUGACAAGGUACAGCAGACACAAAAAUGAAGGGUUCAAGCAAAGUUGAUCCAGGAAUAGCAGUACGCUCUUUUAGGGAUUACCACAAAGCAAUAGCUAGGAGAAUCUCGGUGAGGUAGUACAUGGGUUUUGAAGGGAUUUUGUUUAUGAAUAAGUGAGCACAACUGCCCGCUAUGGCUGACCGUAUGCAUGUUUCAAAAACAACUGUUAUCAACAUCCAGUCUAGUACCUUCAGCAAAAGGAAAGUAUAGUGAUUAACAGUCGCUGAUAAGCUAUACAGGAAGAUCUUCCUAUUCGGUGUUCGUGGAAAGGAAUCAAUUGCCAUCAUUUGAAACCAAUCUCCUCAUAAAAAGAGGGUAAUGUUUCCACGUUGAAAGCAAUUCGACCAAGGCGUAACUAACAGUAACACGUGUAAAAAGCACACAUGACAAGCUCUAAAUCAUGCAUACAAAAAAAAUCCAAGUGAAUCUAGAUGCAUAUUUUUCUUUAACAAACGGAACAAUGAAUGAUGUCUAAGUUUCUUCCAUGUUAGGCAUCUCCAGCCGCGCCCCCAACAGGCCCUCCCCAGGCGAUUUUGCCGCGCCGGCAACAAAAAAAGGCCCCAGUCGCGCCCCCAGAAGACCGUUUUUCGCCGGCUCGGGCCAAAACUGGUGCCGGCGGACCCAGGCCGAAGCCGGCGCCCUGGGGGGCGCUUGGGGAGCCGGCGCAAGGGAAAAAGGCGCGUGGGCCCGCCCUGGAAGCGACCCGAGGGUCUUUUCCCGCCGUUUCUUGACACUUUUCCCUCGUAUCUCUCCCGCUCGCUCGCCUUCCUCCCGCCAUUCUAUCCCUUUCUCCCGCUCGCUCUCGCCUUCCUCCCGCCAAACCCCCUCCCGCUCGCCGCGAAGAAGCACGCCAUGCCGCCGAAGAAGUACGCCAUGCCGCGCGCGACGGCAACCGCGAGUGGCGUCGUGGCCCAGCCGAAGCCGAGGAAGCCGAGGGCGCCGCCAUCGAAGCCACUAGGCCUGUCGAACGCCGAGUGGAGGGUGGAAGUUCAGCGGCACGAAGCGGUCACCACUGACAGGCGGAACAGGGCCAUAGCCAAGAAGGCCCGCGACACCGCGGCACGCACGGCGGCGUCUUCCUCAUCGGUCGAACAGGCGGGGAUGAACCCACCCGUCGUCAGCCACGCCCAGUACGCGCCCUGGGGACAGCAAGGCGCCGGAUCUCCAUGGGGUUCAUCGUCGCCCGGCUGCUACGCCGACGGCGACGCGCACAGCGGGUUCAACCCAAACGUGACCUUCCCUCAUGGUCACCCCGCUACGCGCACGCCCUCGCCCGCCUUCGUCGGCGUGCAGUACCCUUCAUACAACUACUCGCCGCCCGCCUCCUACGCGUCCACACCGACGCCCCAUCUCUACCGCGGACCGCUACCCUUCUCGCACCUCGGCGGCACCGAUGACACGGGAGCCGACAUGGAUGACAUCAUCGCGACAGGAUCAAUCACGGCCGCCGAGUCUCUCAGGUUCGCCACCCAGGACGAGGUGGUUGACCUCAACGGCGACAUGGAGGCCGAGCUCGGCUACGUCUACGGCGACGACGCGCAGGAACCCGAGGAGGAGGAGGACGAGGAGGAGGAGGAGGAGGAACCGGCGCCUGUUCCGACGAAGGGGCGCUAGAAGAAGAAGAAGCGGGAGGCUAGGUCAGGCGAACCGCGCAUCAAGUGGACGUCCAAGGAGGAGGAAUGCCUCGCCGAAGCAUGGAAAGUCGUCUGCCUCGAUCCGACCACCGGCGCGAACCAGAGCUUGGACACAUACUGGGACCACAUCAAGGCCGAGUUCGACGAGCGGAAGCUCGUCGACCCCUACUUCAAAGGCGUGUACAUGCAGCGCGGCUCCAAGGCGAUGGCGAACCAUUGGGGGCGUAUCCAGUUGGCGUGCAACAAAUGGCAUGGAAUCGUCGAGGAGGUCGUGGCUCGCCCGGAGAGCGGCGCCAGCAUUGAGGAUCAGGUACGCAUGCCGUUCGCCCGAUAUCUUCGCCCCCUACGCCUGCCAACUGUUUGUCUCUCCGCGCAGCUGCUGCGUAUGUUCGCCAUGUAUCGGGGCGACAACCAAGACGCCGACUUCAAGCACCUCCACGUCUACAAGCGCAUUGACAAGUGCGAGAAGUGGGCGGAAGUCCGGCGUGCCCUCGACAAGGCCAAGGAGACAUACAAGCCAGACGCGACGACUCCGGGCGCGUCAGAGGGACGGCCGGACGGCCACAAGUUGGCAAAGAAGGAGAAAAGUGCCGACGCGGCAACCGCGCGAGUGCAGGAGUCCAUUGAGCAUUGCCUCGCCGACGCCCAGGCCCGGGCCGUCCUACGCGAAGAGAAGACCGAGGCGCGGUGGUUGUCGCUUAUGAAGAACAACGCCAUCAAGCUCGACCUGCUCCGGACGAACGUCGCCGCGAAGAAGAGGAACACCGACAUGGCUUUUCUGAUGAGCGGGGCGGACAUGCUCCAGAGCAACGACGAGAAGCUCAAGGCGUGGUACCUGGUGCAGCGCGGCCUCAUCCUGAACGAGCUGCCGACGGCAACGCCGACGACGCCGAUGACGCCCACGACCACACGGACGCCAAGCCCGGACGGCGCCUCUACAUCGCCGCCCAGUAGUGCCGAAGCCGCGCCGACGCAGCCCUGCGACGAAGCAGGUCCGACACCGACGAGCCCGCGCACGCCGACUCCGCCAACGCCUGGAGCCGACCAAGCCGAAUGAUUCGUUGCGCACGGCGCCCCUCUGUUUUCUGUAACGCCAGACUACGUCCGAUCGCCGGAUUUGCGGCGUCUUUUGAGAGCGGGAACGACCAAGUUUGAAUUUCCCGCGUCCUGGGGCCGGCGCGUGGGGGCGUGACUGGGAGCUAGGUCACCCCAGGGGCCGAACUAGCGCCGGCACCAGGUACCCUGGGGGGCGAUGUAGAGGCCCCGCGCCUAAAUAUUUGGUGUAUUUGCAAGCACCACCAACAACUAUAAGGGCUCUAUUUAGGCGCCCUGGGGGCCGAACGGCUGAAGAUGCCCUUAUAGUUGUUGAUGGUGCUUGCAAAUACACCAAAUAUUUCAGGUAAGUGCCACCUAUGCAACGACUUUAACCUUUUGAAUUAAAUAUGCCAUUAAAUUUGAAAAAGGUAACAGUAUGUAGUACACAUGAUAGCAACAUAUAAGAUAUGAAAAGAAAGUGUGCUGGUUUCUUAUUGUUCCUUGCACACAAUAACCAGAGACAAAUAUGCUAUUCUUCAAACCAACUCAACAAAAACCAGAAAGCGCAAAGGCAUAGUCAAGAGCUCACUGAUCAAACUAUCUAAUUUAAAAAUUAUUCAAUAAAGCCGAUGUGCUUUUAACUGCAUAUAAAACUCUAAAUUAAAUGACAGAAAUAGCACUAGAAACUACUGUAUAGUUAUUUUAACAAAAGAAAAUAGAUAGCUAAAUCUCUCCCUAAUAAUAAAGCAUGGAUUGGGUCUCCGGGUUCACCGUCACAAUACGCUUUCUUCUCAUGUCAUAAUACGCUUUUACAAUUUGUAUGGAAAAAAUUGUAAUAUACACGAGGUGGUACUAAUGAAAUCAAGUCGUGUGCGUCGAACGAUCGCACCGGCUCCCUUCCCUGCUGGGCUUGCCUGGACCCGUUUUUCUACUUGCAACGAAUCAGCGGCUGGACUAUCAAAAAAUAAAACUAUCAGAGACUCAAAUUCGAAAACGAUUGGUUUUUCCUUCAUACUACGGUGUUUUGACUGUGACCCAGUCGAGCUCCACAUCCCUCGCCGCUUCCUCAACUUAUCUCAACUGCCAGCGCGCCGGAGGAUGAGCAGAAGACGGAGUCGUUGCGGGCCGGCGAGCAGGUACUUAUCUCAACUUCCAGCGCGCCGCCACCACCUGCCGCUCCGCUGCGUGCCGCCACCACCGCCUCGCGCGCCGCCCUGGUCGCCGCCGCCGGCCUUGCAUCGCCUCAACGCCCGACCCCCGAGUCUCGCAGGCCCGCCACACACCUACUCUCUUCCAACAAUUCCGUGCAUCCCGGCUCGAUUACUUCAGGGAGGAGGAGGAUGACGACGAGGCAGAGCUGCUAGACACGGUCACACGGCCGCCUGUCCCGGGAAGAUCUGCAGCAACGGUGGCCUCUGGUGCACGCGGAUGUCUGUGGAGGCGGAAAUUUAAUUCGACCUCACCUCGGGCUGCCGGCCUCCCCAAGUUCCUGCUGCCGGCGCCCUCCCGAAGCUCCUGCUGGCCUCCUCCCUGAGCCCCAAGCACGAACAAGGUACUGUGCUGCACACCUGAAAGUCACCCAGCUACUCCUUGUAAAGCCAAAUCCCCUUUUGAAAUUGAGCAGUUGACCAAAUUAACUAGGAAACCCUUGACGGCAAGUUACUUCGGGACUGAUAGAAUCACCACAAAUUGAGAUGAGGCAUUCAAGCGGGCUGGACACACUGACACUCGAGCAGUAGGAUCCCUUGAACUGAAGAAAUGAAUAGGAAGAUACAUGCAAUUUAAGGUAGGCGCACACUAACGUCUCAGUAUCAGCACCAUAAUUUGUGUGUGUGUGUAUGAAUUUUUUAGUUUGUCUCAUGAUUGAUGCAUUCACCUUAGUACAGUAUAUCUUCUGUUUCAUGUGUUUUCUGUGUAAAAGUUGGGUCCCGAUGACCAAUAAGCAAAGAACAACCUUCUCCAACUGACAGUGUUAUUCUCCUAAACAAUUUGCCAUUUUGGUAUUUGCAUGGGGAAUAAAGAAGAACAUUCAUCAUUAGUACUUGAAGAGACUUGCCUGGUUGGGGCAGAACAGGAUCUGCUAUAGUGCAUGUUACUUGACUGCUCACUGUACGACUUCAAUAAAAUCAAGGUCUUUUCCUGAUGCAAGAAAAUGUUUUCUUGCUGCAAUGGUAAGCUAUUCUGAAUCCAUCUUAUAAUGUGGCUGCUCAUGUUUGGUGCAGACGUAGCGCAUGGCAGGGAGAUAAAGUGUUGAGAAAAAGGACGACGAUGUAAAGGGCAGAUGAUAGGGGAUUACUCAAUAAGUAUGCGGAGCUGCUAUAAAGUUUCCUCCUUUCUGUAUAGUUAUUUCACUAUCCACCUAAAUGUCAUCCCAUGUAUAUGUAGGAAACUAAUUUUGUGUUGCUAAAUUUUUUGUAUAUAUUUAAUAUUAUUCAGUGUUAAACUAAUAAUGAUCGAAACAAUGCUAGACUUACAUGUUGAUUCAUCAUUUGUAGACUUUUGGUUACAACGGAUAGAUAUGAGCAGUUUAGCACUAUUCUUGCUUAUAUAUCAAAAAAUAUUAUGAUCAGCAGGCUAAAUCUACCACACGGGUCGUUAGCUCCGUUACCGUAACAUUGCACCAUCCUAACACGCGAGGAAAAUAAUUUCACAAGAUUCUCAUAUUAAGUAUCUAUUCAAAGAGGUAUGUAACAAUGUGCGGGAAGGAGAAAUUCACUCGGUAACAACACCGAUUCUACGGCUUGCAUGCUGAGAGUUGAGACCUGGUGAGCUUACUCGUACUAUUGUGUGAUGUGUUAACUUACUUUUGUAGUUUCUAUAUGCCAACAUAUAUCAUGCUGUUUUAUGGUUAGUAGUAUUUCAACAUAAUUUUUCUAUUCAUGCAUUGAAGCAAAACUGCAGUUAGUUGCUACAGAGCUAGGAGAUCUUGGUGUAUAAUAAAAUAUAUUAGUAUGGAGGGGUUCCUUUGUCACCUGAUUUGAUAAGGUAUAUAGUACGGAAGUUUUUUUAUUUCAUAAUCAUAUUCUUGAUGUACUGUUUAACCUAUUUUCUUUUCAGAGAUUUGCCCUUCAAAUUUUCUUGUGAUAGCUAAUUGCCUUUCUGUAAAACUCUUUGUGCGGAUUAGUUGAUAUGAUCAAUGGUCAAACUGUUUGAGUUUCAAAAUCAUUUUAACAUUUCAAAUUUGGGGGUUGUAUAUAUACAACCGGAUAUCAUGUGUAUCAUGCAUAGCGAUCUACUUUGUUCUGUCUGUUAGCAUUAAUUAAUGUCUACUUCUUGAUUAUAUUUGAUAUACUUCAGAUAGUGAGCAUGAUUGUGGGGAUGGUGUGUAUGAGGAUUUUUUUCCCUUCUCCCAUUGGAACACACAGGUAUAUUUGGGUUUAUAAUAUGGGUUGUUGCCCCAGUUGCUUUUGCUUGGCGAUAAUGGCAAUGUAGUUAUCACCAUGUUUGCACCGUUCUUCACAUGCACAUCCCUAGGCUCCUUAUGUUACUGUUCACCAUCACUGUUGAUUAUUUCUCCUUCUAUUCUGUUAUCCAAUAGGUAUUCUCUUACUACAUAUAAAUUUGGAGGACAAAGCAUUUAUUCUGUUGAUAUAUUAAACCCCAAAUUGCUGACAUUUAUUCUGUUGAUAUAUUAAACCCCAAAUUGCUGACAUGUAACGUCUUCUAUCUGAAUUUGUUUCAUAAAAUUAAUCAUUGGUUUAGUUUGAUAGAUUAAACCCAAAUUAGUUUAUGGACUGAACUAGAAAUAACACAAUCACAUAUUAGUUUUCUUUUUAAAUUUCAUAGUAGAGAUUUAGCCGUCGAUGACCCACUACACGUGGAUGCCACAUCCUUUCUUCCUCACCUAUCGCGCGAAUUUUCAAUGCCGGUCCACUGCGAUCAGGGUGCUGGAGGCUCUUGGGCUUGCAGCUCGCAUGCUUGGAGGUAAGUUUUGUAGCCUUCCGUUGUAACGCACGGGCAUUUGUGCUAGUUAUCCUGAAUUGUAUACUUGUUAAAAAAACAUCAUAGCUAACAGAUCCUUUUUUAGCUUCCAUUUUUCUGUGCUCGGCCGUGUCAGGCGGAAACAAAUAUUCCCUCCGUCCCAAAAUGAGUGUCUCCCAAAAUAAGUGUCUCAACUUUAAUAUAAUUUUGUACUAAAAUUAGUACAAAGUUGAGACACAUAUUUUGGAACGGAGGGAGUAUACAGAUAGGAACUUACACGGAUUCCUUCUGUGACAAAUUGGCAGGAAAAAUACUAUACCAAUGCCUACAAAACCUACACUACUGCAUGACAGGCUCCUCAACAAAAGGCAAAUAUAUGAAUCCUCUGUUUUACGCAUACAUACUAUCAUAUUCCUAGGUUUUGCACAUUUUUCCUACCGUGUGAACCAACUGAGCCUAAAGGUGGGAGCUACACAGACCCGCCCGUCAACGGUAACGUCAUCACGCCUGGCAUGGGGAAACUUCAGUCAAGAUUGGAGGGCAGCCAAAUUUGCAUAAGAAAAUUGAAGGACAAGGUCCUCAUAAUUAAAAGGAUGCUACAUAUAUAUUUAACGGUGUAUGGCACUGGAAAGGUAGUCCACAUGCGGCUACUAAAGUAGUCCACAAACAGUAGCAGCUGGUGGUCGUGUGCCCGGCCCACUGCCCACAGACGUUUCCCUGGUUUUUCCUUUCAGACUAUCAUAUAGCAAAGUUAGCAACAACUGGUACAAUUAAGUGGAGGCUCAGAAUAAAAUAACUUGGAAAGCUAGCGCAAUGAUGGCAGUAGUGCAUGAAUGCCUUCACUAACAGGCAGGAAGAUUCAUGCCACCUACUCCCUCGGUCCCAUAAUAUAAGAACGUUUUUGACAUUAGUGUAGUGUCAAAAACGUUCUUAUAUUUUGGGACAGAAGGAGUACUUUAAUUCAGACAUGACUCGGAUGAGAUGCAUAUACCCAUGUGAUUUAAUCUAAAGGUAAUUUAGAUCUGUAUUUUUUUUCUCUAUAUAAUAUAUGGCACGAGGUCGCGCUCCUGAGCUCACAACACCCCAGCGCUAGCUAGACAGACAGAGCCAUGUUUCUUGCAAGUAAUGGCACACCCCAGCAGUAGCUUCUUCUCAUCAUCCUCCUCUACGCCGGCUGCUUCCUCCUCUCCUUGCCGCUCGAUGCUCCUGGACAUGUCGCUGCCGCAGUGUCGCCACCCAUCUCCUUCAGCUUCGACUUCACCAACUCAUCCUCGUACGACUGAUUUACUUUGUAGAGAAGCGCGGUGUAAUCUCCAGAUAGCCCAUGGAUUUUGUAGAGAAGCGCGGUGUAAUCUCCAGAUAGGCGUUGCCCCAUCCUAGGUUGGACUGAUUUACUUUUGCUGUAAAACAAUAUUUAUUUUUAGGCUUGUUGAACAUGUUGGCUAUGUGCAUCGCGCUAUGCAGAGGCCGGGCAUUCUUCGAUGCGGUUGUAUCACCUCGAUAUAUCAAUUGAAUGAAAUGUUCUUUAUCGAAAAAUAAGCGAGGGGGCAGGGGGUACCUUAGCCAAAUGCCAGGUGUAUGUGUAUAUCUCCUCUGAGAUGCGAUCACAUAUAUAUAUUAUUUAUUGAUCAUGCUAAUACACAAAGGAAAACAGUAGGUAAAUAUACUUAUAAAGCAUGUCUGAGUAGUAUGUGCAUAUGGCAGCUAAGAUACUUGAAGCAAAAUAGUAGUAACAGAAACUAUUUACAGGGCCAUGCACAACAUGAUUAUGGAUAGCAUGAAGAUAAAAGUAGGGCUGUGUUACGUGGAAAACAUGAGCACUAUCCAUAGGGCGAUACUUUGAGUAUUUAGCUUAGAAGCAUAAUCAGAUAUUUGGAUCACAUGAUGAAAUUAUUCCCAAGAAUCAGAUGAUUUUUUUAAUGGCAUUGUCUUGCUAAGGUUACUUAAACAACUACGAAAUGGGCAUCAAACCCAAUGGAAGCCAAGAUAUAAUGAUGUGAAGCUUUUCAGAACUUAACACUGAACACCUAAGGUAGAUAUCAAAUCUAUGAAUGCAAAGGAAAUACGAAAAGCAAUUUCAGUACUGGAAGUUUUGGAAAUACCAAAUAAUGCAUUCCUUGGAGAGUUGACACACACACAUAGCCAUUUAUUGUUGUACAUCAAACCUAAUGGAAGCCAAGAUAUAUUGUCCAGGGUUUAGAUUCUGGCAGUUCAUAUAUUUCAGCCUAGGCUUCAUACCUCACCAAAUAUCUAUGUUACAGAUAUGAGCAGUCUUAAGCCAAUCAAAGACAUUAUCCUUUCAGCACUCUUGCUGAGCUUAGGGUUGCAAAAUCCAAAUCAUUUCACACUUGAUAUAUGUAAGCAUUCCAUAGAGCUCAGAUUCGCCACCUGCUGGGUCAGGCACAGCUGAACAUAAGAAACAAUUAAAUUUUCAUGACAGACUAAUAAGAACCGCAAACAAUUAGAAUUUUGAAAGAGCUCGCAAAAGAGUUCACGACAAUAGGCAUCUAUAUCAUGGAUGCAGAAUUUAAUAAGAACCGCAAACAAUUAGAAUUUAAAAAGAGUUCACUGCUCAGGCUAUUAAUGAAUAAAACUAAUGUGCGUAACUCUAAACUAAAUGGCAUAAACGGUACUAAGAACUACAGUAUGACUAUUUUAACACAACAAAAUGGAUAGGUAAAAAUUAUCUUGAUUUGCACAUCUAUACUUGUUCAAAAGCAGCAUAGCUCACUGGGGCAGAUCCAUUUAUUGCUUCUAUAUUUCUGUUGUCAGUUGUGUCAACUGCAAAUAAAUAUAUAGCUAGGAAGUUUCACAGGUUCCUUCUCCAGCAAGAGGCAGAAAAACACUUCGCCGAUGACAAAUAAACCUACAUUGCAUGAUAGGCUCACAAACAAAAUGAGCCUAUCCUACAUUGCAUAAGGUCAAAUAUAGUUGAAAACCACCUGAAGCAGAUUAUGUUACUUCAAAAUCAGAGUGUCUUUCAUUGGCGGCUGAUGCUUGACAAACCUACACUGCAGGAUAGGCUCACCAACAAAGUAGCCCAAUAUUUAUAGUUGAAAACCAGCUGAAGCAGAUUAUUUUACUUGAAAAGUACAGAGAAUAGCUCACUGAUACUCUCAAUUCACGUGCUGGAAAUGGCCUGAUCUCGCACUCUCUUAGCUCCAAUACAUCUUUCAUGUGUUUUAACAGGGGAAAACUUUGACUCAUUGAUUUCAAAAGAACGAUAUCUCAUGAUUUCGAACAGUAGACCAGAUACCCAUCUUGCAUCAUUAAACACAAUCAAAACGAAGAAUUGCAUCAGUAGACACAUCAAUUUGCCACUUAUGCUAGGAUGGACAACAAGCCUAAGGUAGGUGUUAGUUUGUACAAAGACUUACAGCUUAGCUGAAAGCAACAAUUUGGUCUGAAAUUUGUAACUUGAUGAAAUUCAUUUUGUGAACUGACAGUUUUUCUGUAGAUAUGAUGAGAUUAAUUCAAGACUAGUAGAUAGAUAUUAUAAGAAUAAAUGAAUGCCAACUCCACUCAUUUAUUUCUGAAGAUUAAGGGCAGAUAUAAAUGAUAAAAAUCAGUUGUUAAUCAUACUUUAGAGCCAAAUAGGUUACUUGUUCAAUAUUUAAACUUUCCCAGAAAAGGUAUGGUAAACUACAGGAUUUAGGAAUCAAUCUUUGAAGAAUACAGGGAAAGAAAUCAGAAGACAGACAAUAAAAACAGACCCGGUAGAAAUAUAUCUUCUAGAAGCAUAAUCUAAAUAUUAUACACUGAACAAUUUUGGCAAAAAAGAUGACGAACUGAAAAAGGAACAUGCUAGACAAAAUUCGGCAUGAAAGCAUAUCACAACAAUGCAGGACAGUUCUUUUGCUUUCUGGUUUUCAGGCUCCUGGUUUCAACAGAAAAUUGGUCCCACCCACACAUGACACAUCCAUUUCUGUAAUCUUAAACAGAAGAGGGGACCAUAAACAUAUUCCUGACUUUUUAUCUUGAGAAAUUGCAGGCAAUGCUUUCUUCUCUACCAAAUGGCAUCAACUCGUGGGGCUUAAGGAAUCAACAAAUAUCCAGUUAGGCAAAGAGCAACGAAACAUAAUUUACCAGAUUACCACGCAGAGUGAAAACUUUGUAGCGCCAUAUGCUGCUACCAAUUCUCACAGCCCAUUCUUGGUUCAUAUAAAUCUGAAAUUAGUCAGCAUUUCCCCUCUGCAAGCGGCAUCAUAGUCUUCAGUGAGGUAUGGUGCAGCUUCCUUGUGAGUGUAUAUGAACUUCUCCAUGAAUAUCUUCUCGGUCAGCUUGAAAAUUACAAUAGUCUCAGUCGCGAUCUAGCAAUCCAUUUGCCUUGAGAAACUUUAUAACGCGGUACCGGGGCCUGACUCGGCCCUCCAGGAUAAGGCAAAGCAUCACCGGCCGUUGAGCAAGGUACGCCGGUUCCAUCCCCAUCUCAGAGAUAAGAAACUCCGACUUGCUCUGCAGUGUCUGAUUGGAUUUGGUCAGCAUCAGUGGGGCCUUACAAAGAGCAAUGCCCACCUCAGCAUCCGACCACCUGAACGUGUUCCUUAAGUACUCCACUUUGGCGGCGAGCUUCUCCUCACUAAGGGAUUCAACAGCCUUCAAACGCGUGCCUGAACAUCCCCGAUCCCUCGGGCCGGGACGGGCUUCGGGCCGGGCCUAGCCAAGCCCGACGUAGAAAACCUAGGCCUAGGCCCAGCCUGGCUUGGGCGUUGGGUCUAGAAAAUCAGGCUCAAGCCUGGCCCACAUGUGUAAAAGCCCGCCGGGCCUCGGGACGGGCCCCCUCGAUAAAUCGCAAAAUUGGCGGGCCCGGGCCCGGGCCGAGUGCAGCGUCGGGCCAGGCCGUUCGGGCCGGGCUGCCCAUGGCCAGGUGUAGUUGGGAGCAAUUAAUUGAGGGAGGCUCCUGUUCGGUGGGCCCACGACGCGAACUCGUGUUGUGCCGCUGUAACAGACAAAGUGUUCUGCUAACCACUACAGUUUGUAACCUCAAGUGACCCGGAAGAAUGCGAAAGGUUUAGAAACCAUUGUAUCCACGUUACUUAUUAGAUUUUUGAAUUAUUUGUAAACAAUUUUUUUAUGAAAAAGAGUUCAUAAAAUUUCAAAAAAAGUUUACGAAUUUGUAAAAACAGUUCCUUGUUUUAAAAAAAGUUCAUCAAAUUUUAAAAAAGGUUCAUCGGUUUUAAAAAAGUUCAUCAAAUUUGAAAAGAGUACAUUCGUUUUUUCUACAAAUUUAAUCAAAUUUGCAAAAACUUCAUCGAAUUUGAUAAAAGUUUAGAAAUUUUGAAAAAGUUCAUCAAAUAUGAAAAAAGUUUAUCGAAUUUGAAAAAGUUCAUCGAACUUCAAAAAAAAUUCAUCAGUUUAGCAAAAAUUCAUCGAACUUGAAAAAUGGUUCAUCGGUUUUAAAAUAAAUUCGUUCAAUUUAGCAAAAGAAAAAAACAAAUCAAAGAAAAAAAGUAAAAGAGAUAUGAAUGAAAGAUUUUUUUUUGGAAUUGUAUGAAGGAAAGAGUAAAGAUAUAAUUGUGCACCUAAGUUGAGGCCUGUGGUUAGCGCAAUGAAGAACGACCGGGAGGUUGCAAGUUCGAAUACCAUCGGACACCCCUGCGUUUUUGUGUUUUCUAUACAAACGGAAAGAAAGGGGAAAUGGGCCGAGCCCAAGUAGGCGCCGGUUCGCGAACUGGCGCCGAAGCGCCAAAUAGGUUUCACCAUUAAUUCAAGGUUAAUUCAGAAAUCCCUAUUUGACGCAUUCCGCGUCAAAAUGUCACCAUAUCACACAAAAGAUCGAGACUCGACAUUGCACCGGCCCAUUUAAGCGUUCCCGAUUUUGGAAACCCUAGAGGUUCCCAUCCGGUUUUUUAUGGUUUUGGGAAACUUCUAGAAGGUUCCUGAACCGGACUUUUCCUGUUACCUUUCUCUUCCCUUUUUCUUCUUUUUCCCUGCUUCCCUUUUUUCUUUUCUCUUCUUUUUUCCUUUUCCUUUUUAUUUUCUAUACAUUUUCCGUUUUUUGUUUCUUUAUUUCUUUCCUUUUUCCUUUUCUAUUUUAGCUUCAUUUUUAUUUUUCUUUCUCAAAUAAAGUUUCUUUUUGAAAAAAUAUUCAGAAACUUAAAAAAUCUUCACAUUUUAGAAAAACAAAUCAUUUGUCCAGAAAAAAAUUUGUUUUUAAAUUUUGUUCAUAAAUUCCAAAAAACACUAAGAAUUACAAAUUUUGUUUGCUUCAUCUCAGAAAAUGUCCGAAAAUUCAAAAUUUUCACCUUUUCAGAUUUUGUUCACAAACCAAAAAAAAUUUGCUUUCCUGUUUUAAUAUUCUUUUACAAAUUCAGAAAAUUUUCAUGUUUCAAAAUUUGUUCACAAAUUAAAAAAAAUUAGGGAAUAUAAAAAAUUGUUAACAUGUCAAAAAUGUUCUUGUUUUCAAGUUUUAUUCAAAAAUUCAGAAAACAUUCAUGUUUCAAAAUUUGUUCACAAAUUAACAAUGUUCGCAUUUUGUAAUUUUCUUCACAAAUUAAAAAUAGUUCAUGAAUUUUAAAAAUGUUCCUGGUUUCCAAAUUUGUUCACAAAUUCAUUAAAUCACCGUGUUUCAAAAUUUGUUCACAAAUUCAAAUAAUGUUUCAACUUUUAAAUUUUGUUCACAACUACAAAAAAAAUUGGAAUUACAAAAAAAAUGUUCAUAUUUUCCCAAUUUUGUUCAAAAUUCAAAAAUGCUGAAGAAAUAUAAAAAUAAGAUCUACGAAAUAAUAGAAGCUAGAAUAUACCUUGGCAUGCACACACAAAUUUGCAAGCUAUACUAAGCUGAUAAGUGUUAAUAAGUUGUACAACAUAUACAACACUUAAGACAAGUAAAAGCAAUUUGAUGAGUCAUGGCCUAUCAAAGCAAGCCACAUUACUAGUCUAAUCCAUCUUAACAGGUCACACAUGAUUACAAUCUUGUUUGUGUGCAAGUCAAGCUUAUCUAGUUUACACGUAACAACUUGUAGAACAACAAAAUUGAUGUUUGCUAAUAACUUCUAGAACACUACAACACUUGACAUGUAAAAGGAAUUUGAUGAGUCAUGGCCUACUAAAGCAAGUUACAUUACUAGUCUUAUCUAUCUUAACAGGCCACAUAAGAUUACGAACUAAGUUCUAUGCCAGCCAUGCUUAUCUAGUUUAUGCAUAACAAUUUGCAGAAAAUUACAAACUUAGUUUCAGAAAAAUAGGCAAUCUAGAUUAGUGUUUGAGCUGUAAAGUGAAUAAGAUGAGUCAUGCAUGUUAUCACACCUUUUUGGUGGUGGAAUGACAGUGCAACAAAAAGGAACUUUAAUGACUAGUCCAAGAAUAAACUUGUAAGUAGUGCCACCAAACACAACAUACCAAGUUAUGAUUUUGGGAAGCAUCCAAGCACUUUCCACACAAGAAAAUGCCAAUUGUGAAAGAGAUUAUGCCAUGGCAGCUAUAAAUAGGCCCCUAGCAUGAUGAUUAUCCUUCCUCAUUCAUCAUUCUCAUAAGCAGAGCGCAUCAUUCAAGCCAAUCAAGGAGUGGUCAAUACAAAUCCACCAUGAAGACCUUUAUCAUCCUUGCCCUCCUUGCUAUUGUGGCGACCACCGCCACAACUGCAGUUACAGUUCCAGUGCCACAAUUGCAGCCACAAAAUCCAUCUCAGCAACAACCACAAAAGCAAGUUCCAUUGGUGCAACAACAACAAUUUCUAGGGCAGCAACAACCAUUUCCACCACAACAGCCAUAUCCGCAGCCGCAACCAUUUCCAUCACAACAACCAUAUCCACAGCCACAACCAUUUCUGCCACAACUACCAUAUCCGCGUCCGCAACCAUUUCUACCACAACAACCAUAUCCACAACCGGAACCACAGUAUCCGCAACCACAACAACCAAUUUCGCAACAGCAGCAGCAGCAACAACAACAACAACAACAAAUCCUUCAACAAAUUUUGCAACAACAACUGAUUCCAUGCAGGGAUGUCAUCUUGCAACAACACAACAUAGCGCAUGCAAGCUCACAAGUUUUGCAACAAAGUACUUACCAGUUGUUGCAACAAUUGUGUUGUCAGCAGCUGUGGCAGAUCCCCGAGCAGUCGCGGUGCCAAGCCAUCCAGAAUGUUGUUCAUGCUAUUAUUCUGCAUCAACAACAACAACGACAACAACAACAACAACAACAACAACAACAACAACAACAACAACAACAACAACAACAACAACAACAACAACAACAACAACAACAACAGCAGCAACAACCGUCGAGCCAGGUCUCCUUCCAACAGCCUCAGCAACAAUAUCCAUCAGGCCAGGGCUCCUUCCAGCCAUCUCAGCAAAACCCACAGGCCCAGAGCUCUGUCCAACAUCAACAACUACCCCAAUUUGAGGAAAUAAGGAACCUAGCACUGCAGACGCUACCAGCAGUGUGCAAUGUCUACAUCCCUCCAUAUUGCUCGACCACCAUUGCGCCAUUUGGCAUCUUCGGUACUAACUGAGAAGAGAAGAACUCUAGUACUAGAUAUAUGAAACACUGUUUUCUUAGUCCAUGGUUUGGUCAUUGUAGCGGUGAGAAAAUAAAGUGACAUGCACUAUCAUGUAAGAACCCGAACUAUACUAGUUCAAACUUGGGAAUAAAAGACAAACACAGGUCUUGUCUACAUAUGGUUGUUUCUUUGUGUUCCAUUCAUGUGCCCGUUCACAAGUUCACCCCUAAUUAUAUAUAUUAUGCAUUACGUAGAUAUUUAUGUUGCAUUAAUUUACAGAUAAUAAAAUGAGUCUGAAACUUGAAUUAAAUUGAAGUAUUUUCUUGGACUUUCAAAUUGACUAUUAUUAAAGUAGUAAGGACUAUCCACAUCCUUGGCUCGCCCUUGAUCAAUUAAUUCCAGAGAAGCAUUCAAUUCAUCAAUCAAUUACAUUGAUUUUUGUGGCUCGUACUUCUCCUCAACAUGAGUAUAUUCAUUGCAGCUACUUCGAAUCGGCAUGAAUGAGGUACUGGUGCCUGGAGCAGUGCUAGCUGAUUGCCUCUAAUGUGAAGGGGCGUGGGCACAGGAGAGGUGUUUUGGGUGGGCCAGGCGAGUAAGAAGCGGGCCCAUCAGCGGUCCGGACGCCCGCAAAGCCCCGUAGUUUGUUUUCGGUUUACAGGAAAAAAACACAUCCGGACCGGCCUGCGGGCCAAUAUAGGACCGUACGUAUUGGAUGGCAAAACAUGUUCGGAUGGUUGCGAGCAGUUUGAGGGAUAGCUUUAGAGAUAGCCCUUACUUGACCCCUCGUUCCGAAAACAAUUAUGACGAUAGAUUUGCCUCGGUUCAGAAAUAUGUCAGGUUUAACAAAGUUUAUUGGAAUUUUCUUUAUCAUAUCUACAGUACCAUACAAAUACACCAUAGAAAAAGAAGCAUAUUUCAUGAUUCACCAUGAAUUGGCCAGGUAAAUGUUGGGUCUGGAGACUCUAUUCUCUUUUGGCAUGAGUUGCCUAGGUCUCAAAAGUUUCAUGAACCGUUCUCUUUUGCCAUUAAGAAAAAGCCCUCUUUGGCUGAUUUUAUUCAUAGUGAUGAUCUGACUCUCCAUUUUCAUAGGCAUACCACCCUGCAAGCUCUUGCUCAAUUCAUUGACAUCAUUGACUUAGUUCAUAAAAAAAUCAACAAAGGAAUAAAAUAAUAUCACGAAGAUACCAAUUACACCCGUCCUCUCUAUCAACAAGCUAGAUGUCCAAAGACAUCAAGGAUACACACAGCUGGAAAAAAUAAUAGAAGAAAAAAGAUCCCGCCAUGGUGAUCGAUCACUAGCAUCUGUAGCACUCUAACCACCACCAAAGACAACACCCGGAUUACCAAAAAAAUUCUCCAGAAACAACCCCCCAAGAAGGAAACAAUGCACAAGCGUUGUCAUUACCCGAUUGAAGAUCGUGGGUUUUGACCCUAGAAAAAUUUCAAGCUCACCCAAAAACAUUGCCUUCAUCAAGGCCAUUGGCAGGUACAACCAAUAAAGGCUAGACCUUGGAUUUUCACCCUAGGAAUUGAGACUCAGUACUCGAGGAGUACCACCAAAAAUGCAGUCCUCCAGUGAUGGUGCCCCCGCUUGCCGAGGCCGCUAUUUCAAGUCACCAAACACAUGGCGCACAUUCUUCAACGCAUCAAUUACACCCUUCCAGCAAAGCUUCAAGACCUCGAAUUGCAGUCGCGAUGACUUUCUCCACCUCUAUCAAUGCCUUAAGAAUCUUGACUUAGACAUGUCCCAUGACACCAAUAAGAAAUUGAAGCUUCUUGUCGCGCCCUCUUGAGGUCGUGUUGGCUAAUAAUAUGAGCGUGCGCCACCGGAGCCUUUCUGAUCUAGAUAUCCAGGGGCGACAUACACAAAUCUGUAUAGAUAUCCGAUGGGAAAGAGCAAAAUUGGUCACCGGCUAGAUCUAAGAGGUUUGGUCACCGGCUAGAUCUAAGAGGUCGACAUCCGGCAGAAAGGCAACUUGGCGGAAGAACAGUACUAGGGCCAAACCACCAUUAUUACGCUGAGGCUAUCUGUGGUGUCCAAGGCCCAAUGCACCACAUGUCUUCAAAUUGGCCACCAGUAGUAGCCCUUAGAAUAGACAGGGCCAGUUUGCAAAUUUUAAAACAUAGGUUUUUAGCACGCAUGAAAAACAUAAUACGUAUCUUUCCACACAUAAUGAACUAUAGGUACCACCCAAAAAAACAUAAUGAACUAUAGGUUGUCAUCAGAACUCAUGCCAUCCCACAGCCUCCCUCCGACCCUGCCAACAUUAUUGCAGCUGCACUCGCAAGCGUUACCGUGGAUGAUCAUUUGCAUGAUUUCACGUAAAACAAAAUAAGAGCUACAAAUGAAUAAAAGCUACACAUACCUUGGCAUACACACACAUUGCAAGCCAUACUAUGCUGCUAAGUGUUAAUAACUUGUACAACAUAUACAACAGUUAAGACAAGUAAAAGCAAUUUGAUGGGUCAUGUCUAUCAAAGCAAGCUACAUUACUACUUUAAUCUAUCUUAAAUGGGUCACACAUGAUUAUAAUCUUUUUUGUGUGCAACUAAAGCUUAUCUAGUUUACACGUAACAACUUGUACAACAUUACAAAGUUGAUGUUUGCUAAUAACUUCUAGAACACUACGGCACUUGACAUGUAAAAGGAAUUUGAUGAGUCAUGGCCUACUAAAGCAAGUUACAUUACUAGUCUCCUCUAUCUUAACAGGCCACAGAAGAUUACAAACUAGGUUUCGUGCAUGCAAUGCUUAUCUAGUUUACACCUAACAACUUGCAUAACAUUACAAACUUAGUUUGAGAAAAUUAGGUAAUCUAGAUUAGUGUUUGAGUUGUAAAGUGAAUAAGAUGAGUCAUGUGUGUUAUCAUAGAUUUUUGGUGGUGGAAUGAUAGUGCCACCAAACACAACAUAUCAAAUUAUGAUUUCAGGAAGCUUCCAAGCACUUUCUUGGCAAGCAAAUGCCAACUGUGAAGGUGAUUAUGCCAUGGUAGCUAUAAAUAGGACUGUAGCAUGAUGAUCAUCCUUCCUCAUCCAUCAUUCUCGUAAGUAGAGCGCACCAUUCAAGCCAAGCAAGCAGUGGUCAAUACAAAUCCACCAUGAAGACCUUUCUCAUCCUUGCCCUCCUUGCUAUCGCGGCGACCACCGCCACAACUGCAGUUAGAGUUCCAGUGCCACAAUUGUAGCCGCAAAAUCCAUCUCAACAACGACCACAAUAGUAAUUUCCGUUGGUGCAACAACAACAAUUUCCAGGGCAGCAACAACCAUUCCCACCACAACAGCCAUAUCCGCAGCCGCAACCGUUUCUGUCACAACAACCAUAUUCGCAACCGUAACCAUUUCCGCCACAACUACCAUAUCCACAAGCGCAACCAUUUCCAACACAACAACCAUAUCCACAACCGCAACCACAGUAUCCGCAACCACAACAACCAAUUUCGCAGCAGCAGCAGCAGCAACAACAACAACAACAACAACAACAACAACAAAUCCUUCAACAAAUUCUGCAACAACAAAUGAUUCCAUGCAGGGAUGUCGUCUUGCAACAACACAACAUUGCAUAUGCAAGCUCACAAGUAUUGCAACAAAGUAGUUACCAACUGUUGCAACAAUUAUGUUGUCAGCAGCUGUGGCAGAUCCCCGAGCAGUCGCGGCGCCAAGCCAUCCACAGUGUCGUUCAUGCUAUUAUUUUCCAUCAUCAUCAACAACAACAACCGUCGAGCCAGGUCUCCUACCAGCAGCCUCAACAACAAUAUCCAUCAAGCCAGGGCUCCUUCUAGCCAUCUCAGCUAAACCCACAGGCCCAGGGCUCUGUCCAGCCUCAACAACUGCCCCGGUUCAAGGAAAUAAGUAACCUAGCGCUGCAGAUGCUGCCAGCAAUGUGCAAUGUCUACAUCCCUCCAUAUUGCUUGAGCACCAUUGUGCCAUUUGGCAUCUUCGGUACUAACUAAUAAGAGAAGAACUCUAGUACUAGACAUAUGAAACACCGUUUUCUUAGUCCAUGGUUUGGUCGUUGUAGCGGUGAAAAAAUAAAGUGACAUGCACUAUCAUGUAAGAACCCGAACUAUACUAGUUCAAACUUGGGAAUAAAAGACAAACACAGGUCUUGUCUGCAUAUGGUUGUAUGUUUGAGUUCCAUUCAUGUGCCCGUUCACAAGUUCACCCCUAUUUAUAUACAUUAUGCA